CGGGGCCCCGAAAUUUGCAUAACUUUGGUUCAUGGGUUGCACUGGAAUGCCAUCCAUGGGUGGCGGCGGUGGCGGAGCAGAGGCACCGGGCUUCUGUGGGUAGCCAUCAGAUGCGUUCGAGGAGUACAUAGCUUCAAUCCACAACUAAAGAUACCGGCUCCAACGAUCAAAGAAGGACGACACGACACAGCGAAAGAUCGAAUGAGGAAGUGAAUCGGGCGAGGGCUAGAGAGGGUUGAAAGAUGAGAUGUUAGGUGAACUGCACAUGAUGUAUACGUCCUAUUUCUAUGCAUCUAACACUCAUAUAUUUGCGUAAAAGAGGGGUUUCGUCAGUGAAUGCUUUCACCAGAAGCGGCCGUGACCAAGCAAGUCGUUGAUCCGCCUUCGAAUCUGUUUGCUGGUCGUGGCAACGACGAAGCGCCAACUUUGACGGUUGAUGGUUAGUUGAAAAGUAAAUGCCUUGUUUAAGCUCUAAGCUAUCGUCGUGCGAUUAAACUACGUAUAGACUUAUAGUUUAGCGCGGUGGGCAACGUUGACAAUGGUGUAAAUUGAGACGAGGUCAGGCAGUUUCGUAUGUAAUUUUGUUUUUUCUAUCGUGAUUUUUUUGGACCAAGUUCAGGUUCUAAAGUUGGACGCGACUUCGCUCUCGUGACGCGACCGUCACACUUUCACACGAAUCGCGACCUCGUUUGUUUCGAGAACACCGAACGUAGUUUCGAGAGGGGUUUGUCACCUAUAAUUAGGUGCAAUGUUGUUAUCAAGACAGCACAGGGCUCAGCAGCUUUUGUUUACGUUCCUUUUGGGAUUCCGGGGUGAAAUUAGGAAGAACUCCAUGGAAGAGACGAGUUAGAGAACUCGGUCCUUUUAUUUUUUGGUUCGAAAGGAGAACUCGGUCUUAGGUGAAGGGAUAAUUGAUUCGUUUUUCCAACCGGCAAGAUUAGAUUUGUUGGAUAGUGUGGACGGGCAUUGAUUGUAUGGGGUUGUGUUUUAGUCCGUGAGAAACAAGUUGGGAUUGUUUGAGAAGAUGCUUGAUCUAGCGAGGGAGUCACGGCCUUUGGGUAGUGGUUGCCGACCCUCGCUUGGUCUCAUUUAAAAAUAAGGAAAAAAUUAUUUAAAAAUUACAAAAAUUGUUCACAUCUAUGUUGGUGAUGUCAUGUAGAAUGCUCACUAUCCAUGUUAGCAAUUUUUUUGCAAAUAUUAGCCGGAUAGACUUUAUUGGCAAAUUAUCAAAAAACUUAGAAUUAAAUUGAUCAAAAUUGAAAGGUUUAAGAUUGAAUUAGUACAUGUGUAAUACGUUUAAGAUUUUUUUUUUUAUAAUAAUUAUUCCAAUUUUCAUCACAUCGGCAAGUGCAAAUAAUGUCAAGUUGGGCUAUCCAUCGAGUUCUGACUUGUGACUUACCUUGCUGCUAAGAUUUAUGAGGUAUUAGAUGGGAUUGUUCUACUUAGGUAAAUGUCCAUUUCAUAGAAGAACAUAUAGGCUUAUUUUUUUUCCUAAUGUGAAUAUCCCUUUGUAAAUGACUAAAUUCUUGCUCACGUCGGAUGAGCUUUAAUGCAUCGACUUAUUAUGACGUGAUUGAGUGAAUUUUUUAUAAAGCCACUUUAUUCACAGGAAAAGAAAGAAAAUAAAAUAGAAUUUGUAUAAAGCCUAAUGUAUUGUGAGGAGAAUUGAGAUAGCUUAUUGCGGACUCUUUUACACAGGGUAAAUGCCCCCUUGCUUCUGACCUUGGGCACGUCCUAAUAUGUUCUCCUCCUUUCUCUUCAUUGAGCAAAAACGCGAUGCCAAAUCGUUCUGAUCGCAACAUCAAUCCAAGUAUGUAUCUAGACCCUCUAUUGUUUGGUGUUGUAAAUUCAUUUACGUGAUUUCAUAAAAUGUAUACCCUUUCCUUCUUUGAGCAGGGCAGACGACAAAACUUAUGUCGACAGAUCGAGCAUGCUACUGUUUACUUUAAAAGUGAAAAUCGCUGGAGUAUGAUGCAUAUAAUAUUUUUUUCAAUGUAAUACACCGUCUUCCCUCAUGCGAAGGGCGAUAAGAUGAUGAUGAAAGCAAUGUGCACAGAUCUGAUAUGCAUUGCCGAAACCAAGCUUAGAAUUAAUUCCUGUCAUGCUAUAUCUAUAUGAUUCGACCACUAAAAGUGGGAAAUUUGUGGAUGGAGUUAAAGAAGACAUUCGAUGCCAACGUUGAAAAUGGUCAACUCAAGGAAAAUGGACAUUGGGUCCAAGCUAUUUUUAUUUCCUAUUUACACGUAAACAAGUAAUAAUGACAAAAAUGAAAAAUGAACUUUGACCCAAUUGCAAUUUGAUCCCCUGAACUUUUAAUUAAUUCAAUGCGGUCCCUAAACUUUGGUCUAAUGUGCAAUGUGGUCCAUAAUCUUUUUAUUUGUUCAAUGCGGUCUUAGGACUUUCAAUACAUAUUCAAUAUAGUCCCUGAACUAUAUACAAAUUGUUGUCCUUCUAUUAAUUUAAGAUCAUGGACAAUGUUGAAUAUUUUCAUAUAAUUUAUGAACUAAAUUGAACAAGACCGGUUCAGAUUGUCGAUCGCAAAGAGCAAGUUCUGCGUACAAAGACUAUUCCCUUAGUCAAAGUGGUUUGGCAAUACCACGGUACAGAAGGAGCAACAUGGGAGACUGAAGAGUCAAUGAGAGAGUUGUACCCCCACCUUUUUGAUCAAGCCUUGUAAGGUCAAUCUAAUGAUAACUCAAUCAGCUUGCUAUUGUCAUGUGUGACAUCCAGGAUUUUCAGUAUUGUUUUCUAUUAAAUUAAUCGGGCAUUUCAUUGACGUGUCUAUAGGGUUGUUCUCAGAGCUGAUCACUCUCGAGAUAACUAGACUAGCUGGGUAUGCCAUUAAAGAAUAUUAAGGCAAUAGACUUGAGAAUUCGACCAGGAAGCGGCUUCUCGACCGCGUUCAUCUUUAGAGGUCAUUACUGCACAGUUAAAGAUCGAAUUGAGAUCAGAGAUAGGUCGGUUCGACUGAGAUGUGUGGCCGAUCGUGGGUGACUCCACUAAAUUGGAAAAUUCUCGUCGACCGGCACUAAUUUGAUUUUCUGUCGUUUUGGUACCCUGUGUUGGUAGUCGAGCCCUCGAGAUUUUCACGACAAUUGAGAGUCGCCAAUGUGUCGAGUGGGUUCAUUGGGGCUCGAAGAAAAUCGACCACGAGUCAAUUGCCCUAAAAAGUUCUGAAAACUACCCGGUAGUCUAGGUCACACUAAAAGCACGUCGGAGUGAAAUUAACCGUCGAUUUGAGUCAGAUUUCAGAAAUCGAAAGUUCAGUGAUGUCACAAGCUAUUUUAGGAGCAUCGACUCAGUCUCAGAAGAUUUUCGGAGAUUCGGGAAAUUUUACGGAAAUUGGGUUCGGACGUCGUGGAAAUUUGGCCGAAGUUCAGAUUGGCUAAAUUAAUGGGAAAUUUGACUUUCGGGUUGAGCCCGUGUGUGUCGGAGAUUUACAGAAAAUUUCUUGGGAUUUUUCUACGUCGAAAUUGGACCUCAAUUUGGGAAUUUAUUGGAGAAAUUGAAGUUCAAAUGGUGAAAUUCGUAUCAUCCCCUCCCCCUAGCCCAAAAUUGACCGAUUGAGAAGUUGGGAGAGUUGUUGAUGUGGCCUAAUGAAGGCCAAGGUUUAAUGCUUGGCCUAGAUUGAUUGUUGAAGAUAUUUCUUGUGGAAAAUUGGCAAGGAUGGCCCACCCUCUCUCUUAUCUUCUUCCUCACGCACGGCUCCUCUUCGUUUUUAACUCUGCGGUCUCAGCUUCUGCUUCAUUUUCUUUCGGUCGAAGUCCAGAUAAGCAAAGCCUCCUCCGCGUGUCUUCCUCAACUCCACUUCUCUGCCAUUCCACUGAAGACACAGCCCACGAUAUCUCUCUCUCCCUUCGCCCGUUUGCCCCCUCUCACGCGGCCAGCUCACCCCUGCUCCACCAUCUCUUGCUCUCUCGGUCAACUUCAGUGAAAUUCCUCUAGCGAAGUCCCCAGGUGUUGAUCGAAACUGCUGCGGUUCAUCCAUCUCCACGCGGCUUCAAAACUCCAGCCUUCGUCAAAGGCUUCAGCAACCGCCACAAGUGUUGCUUCUCUUCAUCCAUGUUCCACCGAAGCCUCUCAACCUCCACCGUUUCGGCCAGCCUCUCCACGCGUCAUCUUCGGUUAACAACAGCAGAUCUUCUCCCAAUUUUGUUGACUCCAUCAACGAAGACCACCCAUCUUCGUGUCUUCUCUCUCUCGCGGCCAGCAAAGCUGAAGCCGCGCGCAUCCAUCACCUGCGGAGCUCAACCGAUUCUUCUCCAUAGGUUCACAAGCCGCUGCCACCUGCCCUUCUUCGGUCAACAUUGCAUCCACCGAAGACCCUGAUCUCACGUCCGCAACUCCAUAUGCGGCCAGCAAAUUCCACCGAAGGAAUCCCAGAACCCCAGCGAAGCAACAGCAUCAUCGAAGCCGUGAGUCCACGGUCUUCAGCCGCAUGAGCAACCGAAAGUCCAUCCCCUGUCCGCGUGAUUUCUCUUCUUCACCCGUAGAACAGUCGGCCCAAGCUUGCAGUCUUUGAGCCCAUCAGUCCAGCAGUUCUUCAGCCAAUUUAAUUCAAGUUGCAGCCCAGUAAUUUGAGGCCCAAUUCAGCAGAAUUUUAUUGAGGCCCAUCUCCUGCAGUCUUCAAGCCCAGUCCAAUCCAAGUGAAUUAAUUGGUCAAGCCCAGUUCAGCAGCCCAUCAACUGAAAUUGGAGGCCCAAUUUCCAGCAAAGAAAUUUGAAGCCCAAGUGAAGUCAGUCCAGAAUUUCAGCAGGCCCAAUUCAACUUGGGUCUGGCCCAAAAGCAAGAACAAAUCUCAGUUGGGCUGAGAUUUGUUGGGCCAAGGUCAAGGCCCGGUCCAAGUCCGCCGGUGUCGUCGAAAGUUCGAUUUCGGUCGCCGUCGCGUCGCCGUUGCGGUGAUUCGGUCUCCGCUUUUGUCAAGUGAGUUUUACUCACUAAUGCUUUAUUAGUUUGCUAAUUAUGCCUUAGGGUUGGUUAGAUUUAAUUACAUGCACUUAGGUGGUUAGAUUAGGUUAGAACAAUUAGUUUAGUGACUUAAUGAUGCAUGUUAGGUGGUUAGACCUAGCUAUUAGCAAGUAGAAAUGUUUGGUUAUUUAUUGAAUGCAUAUCGGGAUUUUUCCCGACCCGUUUCGGGCUCCAAUAAGGCAAUAUGGGCCUAAAUUGGAUUUUUAAUGUUUAUUUAUUUAUUUUCGAAAUUUAUUUAUUUAAUUAAUUAUUUUUCCGGAAAUUCAACCGGGAUGGCCGGUGACCGGAAUUUCGUGCCGAUUGUCGUGGUGCAGACCGUUUAUUUAAUUGAGCUCUACGUUGUGUGGAAUUGAAUUUAUUGUGGAAUUUUAGGAAUUGCCCUAAAUUGUUUGUUAUUGAAUAUUUGAUUGGUUGUUGGCCGAAUAUGGGUAUAUAGCGCCAGUAUGUUGAUGGGCUAUAUAGUAGGGAGAAUGGUGAGACCAAUCAGGUACGAUAUUAUUGGACAUACGUGGUUCGGUGAUGGGAAGUAUCACUGGCGAAAACGGCGCCUUAAAGAACGCACGUAAAUGACUUAUAGACAAACGUGGUUCGGUGGUUAUGGGAAUAUCACUGGUGAAAACGGCGCCUUAAAGAACGCACGAUGUUGUCUAUAGCCGAUGUCACCUUGGCGAAAACGGCGCCCUUGAAAGGACACGUGGUUCGGUGAUCAAGGUUAUCACUGGUGAAAACGGCGCUUUAAAGAACGCACGGUGUCGGUGAUCGGUAUGUCAUUGGCGAAAACGACGCCCGAGAAACACAUGUGAUUUGGUGAAUGAGUACACCACUGGGAAAUCGUGGUAUGAGUGGGAAUGACCUAGAAAGGGUCUGGCUGACAUGUAAUCGACUUAGUCGAUUGACCAGUGCUUGAUCGGAUGUCGUGAAUUGUUUGAAUAUCUGUGUUUAACCUUGAAUUGCAGGUUGGAACUGAGGCUAAGGUAAGUCCUCUGACUCGUGUUGUGCUUAGGCAACCGUAUGGCGUAUUAGUUUAUUAAUCAAGUCUUAGUGGGUAGGACUCGCUGAGACGUGGUCUCAUUGGUUAUUGAAUAACCAUUUCAGGACCCUAAGGAGAAGCUAAGGAAGAGGAACCUGAAGGGGAGAAAGACUUUUGAAGAAGAAGAAGAUCCAGAGAGGGAUCUUGAAUAUAACCCGGAUGUGGAUUGAGAUCCCAUCCCUUUUGUGCACCCUGUCUUAGUGUAGAUAGGUGUGAGACUUUUAUCUUGUAAAUAGUAUUGUAAAUAUUCUAUGAGUGGUGCUGUUAAAGAAAGUGUGGUUAUGAAUUUCAAUAUGAAAAAUAUGGCCUGCUUUCCUAUCCCAUUGUUUUAUUGUCUGGGGAUUUAUAACUGCUUCCGCAUGUGCUUAAUAAAAAGAAAGGGUCGGCGAUACAUAGUCCUGGGAUAUCGCAUAUAAAAAUCGACCAAGUAGAAGGAUGUACGCGCGUCCGAGGAUCGGGGCGUGACAUCCCCUUUUUGUGGUAUCAGAGCGAAGGUCAAGAUUGGAGUGAUAAGGAGCGUUGACCAUGGGAUAGUUAGUAGGAAAGGCCUUUAAAUUCAUGCUGGUGCAUGUUUAUGUUAGCUGAAUGCUAAAAUUGUUUGUGGUGUGUGGAUCGCUCACCUUCUAAUCCAAUGUGGGUUUGGAAGUCGGGUUGCAGUGUAAAGACUGAACCAUGAGCGAGCAGGAGCUAAGAACUCCUAGUAAGAGGACAAUGUCCUUUGUAACUCGGGAUGAUGCACUGACUAAGGUCAGUACCCGAGGUGGCUGUGGCAGAGUAUUGACUCUGGCCAGCUCGAGUGUAAGAGUACCACCGCAGGUUGGUACUAGUGUAGCAGCGUCGAAUGAUCCUAAGUUCGAUAGGAUCGUUCUGAUGCUAGUGUUCCUUGGGAAUUGGAUGAGCCAGCAAGCUCAGGAUCAAGCCGCUGUUGUUGUCGUUAUCAUUACCGCUGUUGUCGCUGCACAUGCUGAGAUCCAGAGUGGAGAUGUAGAUGUGAUUCAAGAGCGAGUCAUUGCAUUCGAGUCGAGGUAUAGAUCCAGUUCAGGCAGAAAUGGAAAUCGGUCAGGGAAAAGACGGAGGUCGAGAGAAAAGCAUUCUAUUCCACUCUCGAGGAAGGAUGGAGUAGUCAAGUCGGCACCGAGUCAAAUAGAUCAGGUUGUUUUCGGACGUGAUGAUGGAAAUCGGCAUUAUGUCCUUCCUAGGACGCGAAUUUGUUUGGAGUAUAGUUAACAGGGAUAUCUGGUCGGGAGUGAUCCUAGCAGAAUGAUGGGUAACCAGAAAGAGUGCAUGCUUUUGCCUAAUAGAAGAUAAAAGAUGCACCAGAUAGGUGUCAGAAUUGUAGAAGGAAGUAUGGAUAAAUCUAGUGUCCGAGUAUGACCAGAACAUGUUGUGAUGAUGACUAGCAUGGCCAUCAGGUGAAGGAUUGUCAGUGGAAGUCCAAGGUAGCAUAGACAUCGCUACUGCGGCAGAACGCCACUAGGAUGGCGAAAGGAAUGGGAGUAGAAUUGAUCUUGCACCGAUUAGAGAAAGAAUGUAUUGGAGGUGAUUUUAUCAGAGUAACGUAGCAGAGUUUUGUGCUGAGUUUGUAGAACUUAAAUUGUUGAAGUAAAAGUGAAAGAGAAGGGAAUCACUAGCAAUAGUUGUGCUUGACUAGUUGCUGAGGUGUGAGUUCGACACCACAUGAAUAGUGUGAGUUCAUAAAGCAUCUUGUAAUAAGGAAUCAUGGUCAUGGAAUAAUCCAGUUUAGUCUAUUAGUUUGCAAAAAUAGCAAGAUUAUUAAGAGUCGAAAAGAAUCUUCGAUUUCAUUAAUCUCGUUGGCUAAAGACAAUCCGUUUGUUAGACGGAGGUUACCAAGAUUGAUUUGACAGCGGUAGUGGAUGUGUCAGUUAAGAAAUAGAAUGAGAAGAAGGUGGCCGUGAUACAGAAAAUUUAUAAGAUGGUUCCAAAGGAAUUGCUUGGGUUACCGCCAGAAAGAAAGAUUGAAAUUGCAAUUGAGAUAGCACCAGGAUAGAGCCGCUCUCGAAGACUUCUUACCAGCUGUUGUUGUCUAAAGUGGUAGAAUGGAAGAUGCAGAUGUGAAGAUUGAUGAAUGAGGAAUUCGUGUAUAUCGGUGCAUCACUUUUGGGAAACAUCAGUCUUGUUUGUGAGAAGAAGAAAGAUGGUUUAUUGCGAGUGUGCAUCAACUAUCGUCAACUCAAUUAGGUGAAGAUCAAGGACAAGUGUUCUUUGCCAAAGAUCAUUGAAUGGUGUGACUAGUUAUAAAGAGUAUCGAUGUUUUAAAGGUCGACUUGAGAUUAUGAAGUCGUUAGUUACGAACCAGGAAGGAGGUUGUACGAAAGACAGCUGUUCGUACUUGAUAUGGUCUUUACGAGAGUAUUGUAAGAUCGUUUGGCUUGGUGAACACUCCAGUUUCUGUCAUGGAUUUGACAAACAGAACGUUCAAUGAAUAAGUGGAUCAUCAGUUUGUGAUUGUGUUCGUUGAUGACAUCUUAGUCUAUUCGAGAAGUGAUGAAGAGCAUGAGAAUCAUCUGAGAUUAGUGCUUCAGACCUUAAGAACUCAUCACCUGUAUGCUAAGUUUAGCAAAUGCGAGUUUUGGUUGACUCGUGUCGCGUUCUUAGGUCAUGUGAUUUCCGGUGAAGGAAUCUCUGUCGACCAGAGCAAGAUAGAAGCCGUGAUCAAUUGGCAGAGACCGACAUCAGUGACAGAAAUCAGAAGUUUUCUGGGAUUGGCAGGUUAUUACAGACGGUUUGUAGAAGGUUUCUCAGCGUUAGCAUCGCCUCUAACUAAGCUCACGAAGAAAGACGAAAAGUUUAUAUGGACAGACAAGUGCGAGCGUAGUUUUCAAGAGCUGAAAGAAAAGCUGACUACCGCACCUGUGCUGAUAAUUCCAUCGGGUCCUGGAGGAUUCGAAAUCUAUAGUGAUGCGUCAUUCAAGGGGUUGGGUUGCGUGCUGAUGCAACAUGGCAGAGUUGUUGCAUACGCUUCCAGGCAGUUGAGACCUCAUGAAUUGAACUAUCCGACGCACGACUUAGAGCUCGCCGUGAUUAUCUUUGCCUUGAAGAUUUGGAGACAUUAUCUGUGUGGUGAAAAGUUUCAGAUCUUCACGGACCAUCAAAGUCUCAAGUAUUUAUUCUCUCAGAAGGAGUUGAACAUGAGACAGCGCCGAUGGAUGGAACUACUGAAAGACUACGACUGUGACAUUUUGUAUCACCCAGGAAAGGCGAACAAAGUCGCCGAUGCACUGAGUCGAAAGUCUUCAGUGGCUCAUAUACUGAUUAAGGAGUGGAACUUAAUCGAGAGAGCUCGGGAUUCGGUGUUCAAAUUUGAGGUAGGCCACCUCUCGAGUUUUAUGGCCACCCUCAGAAUUGAACCGGAUGUUCAGGUUAGAAUUAAACAACUCCAACCGACAGACCCAGAUGUACAGAGAAUUCUUCAGGAAGACGCAGAGGAAAGAAAAGCUGAUUUUCAGAUUGCUGAUGACGGAACACUAAGAUUCCAAGGAUGAUUGGUUGUACCUGAUGAUGUAGAGCUUAGAGAAGAAAUCUUAUCUGAAGCACAUCGUAGUAGUUACAGCAUUCAUCCUGGAAGCACUAAGAUGUAUCAGAAUUUGCGUCAACACUAUUGGUGGUCAGGUAUGAAGGCGGACAUCGCCAAGCAUGUGGCCAAGUGUUUGACUUGUCAGCAAGUAAAAGCCCAGCAUUGCAAGCUGGGAGGACUUUUGCAACCUCUCGCGAUCCCAGAGUGGAAAUGGGAGCAUAUCACGAUGGAUUUCGUGACUGGACUACCAAGGAGUCAGAGAGGGAAUGAUUCGAUCUGGGUGGUAGUCGAUAGAUUGACAAAGUCGGCUCACUUCAUUGCAGUUCGAAAGGACCUCAGUUUGAAUAGGCACGCAGACCUAUAUGUGCGCCAAGUGGUUCGAAUGCAUGGAGUGCCCGUUACGAUAACGUCCGAUAGAGACCCGAGAUUUACUGCUGCUUUUUGGAAGAGCUUGCAGAGUGCUCUUGGUACAAAGCUUCAGUACAGUACGGCUUAUCAUCCUCAGACGGAUGGCCAGUCCGAGAGGACAAUACAAACCCUCGAGGACAUGCUGAGAGCAUGUGUUAUAAACUUCAAAGGAAGUUGGGAAGAUCAGCUUCAUCUCGUAGAAUUUGCCUACAUCAACAGUUAUCAGCAGAGUAUUCAGAUGGCCCCAUUUGAAGCACUGUAUGGCAGAGCGUGCAGAACACCAGUGUGUUGGGAUGAAGUUGGGGAAAGAAAGAUAACAGGCCCAGAGUUGGUUCAGCAGUCAGUAGAUGCCGUAGCAGUGAUCAGAGACAGAUUAAAGACAGCGCAGAGCAGGCAGAAAAGUUAUACAGAUAAGCGUCGAAGGUCUUUGGAAUUCCAAGUUGGUGAUCACGUUUUUCUGAAGGUGUCACCAAUGAGGGGAACUUCGCGCUUUGGUAAGAAAGGCAAACUGAGUCCGAGGUACGUAGGUCCAUUUGAGAUUCUUGAGAGAAUCGGGACCUUAGCGUAUCGUCUUGCGUUGCCGCCAAGAUUGGCGCAAGUGCAUGACGUCUUUCACGUGUCGAUGUUGAGGAAGUACGAGCCUGACUCGACCCACGUACUCAAUUUUGAAGAAUUGGGCGUGGAUGACCGUGUGUCAUACGUCGAAAGACCGGUUCAGAUUGUCGAUCGCAAAGAGCAAGUUCUGCGUACAAAGACUAUUCCCUUAGUCAAAGUGGUUUGGCAAUACCACGGUACAGAAGGAGCAACAUGGGAGACUGAAGAGUCAAUGAGAGAGUUGUACCCCCACCUUUUUGAUCAAGCCUUGUAAGGUUUAAAUUUCGAGGACGAAAUUUUUAUCAGAGGGGAAGAGUUGUGACAUCCAGGAUUUUCAGUAUUGUUUUCUAUUAAAUUAAUCGGGCAUUUCAUUGACGUGUCUAUAGGGUUGUUCUCAGAGCUGAUCACUCUCGAGAUAACUAGACUAGCUGGGUAUGCCAUUAAAGAAUAUUAAGGCAAUAGACUUGAGAAUUCGACCAGGAAGCGGCUUCUCGACCGCGUUCAUCUUUAGAGGUCAUUACUGCACAGUUAAAGAUCGAAUUGAGAUCAGAGAUAGGUCGGUUCGACUGAGAUGUGUGGCCGAUCGUGGGUGACUCCACUAAAUUGGAAAAUUCUCGUCGACCGGCACUAAUUUGAUUUUCUGUCGUUUUGGUACCCUGUGUUGGUAGUCGAGCCCUCGAGAUUUUCACGACAAUUGAGAGUCGCCAAUGUGUCGAGUGGGUUCAUUGGGGCUCGAAGAAAAUCGACCACGAGUCAAUUGCCCUAAAAAGUUCUGAAAACUACCCGGUAGUCUAGGUCACACUAAAAGCACGCCGGAGUGAAAUUAACCGUCGAUUUGAGUCAGAUUUCAGAAAUCGAAAGUUCAGUGAUGUCACAAGCUAUUUUAGGAGCAUCGACUCAGUCUCAGAAGAUUUUCGGAGAUUCGGGAAAUUUUACGGAAAUUGGGUUCGGACGUCGUGGAAAUUUGGCCGAAGUUCAGAUUGGCUAAAUUAAUGGGAAAUUUGACUUUCGGGUUGAGCCCGUGUGUGUCGGAGAUUUACAGAAAAUUUCUUGGGAUUUUUCUACGUCGAAAUUGGACCUCAAUUUGGGAAUUUAUUGGAGAAAUUGAAGUUCAAAUGGUGAAAUUCGUAUCAUCCCCUCCCCCUAGCCCAAAAUUGACCGAUUGAGAAGUUGGGAGAGUUGUUGAUGUGGCCUAAUGAAGGCCAAGGUUUAAUGCUUGGCCUAGAUUGAUUGUUGAAGAUAUUUCUUGUGGAAAAUUGGCAAGGAUGGCCCACCCUCUCUCUUAUCUUCUUCCUCACGCACGGCUCCUCUUCGUUUUUAACUCUGCGGUCUCAGCUUCUGCUUCAUUUUCUUUCGGUCGAAGUCCAGAUAAGCAAAGCCUCCUCCGCGUGUCUUCCUCAACUCCACUUCUCUGCCAUUCCACUGAAGACACAGCCCACGAUAUCUCUCUCUCCCUUCGCCCGUUUGCCCCCUCUCACGCGGCCAGCUCACCCCUGCUCCACCAUCUCUUGCUCUCUCGGUCAACUUCAGUGAAAUUCCUCUAGCGAAGUCCCCAGGUGUUGAUCGAAACUGCUGCGGUUCAUCCAUCUCCACGCGGCUUCAAAACUCCAGCCUUCGUCAAAGGCUUCAGCAACCGCCACAAGUGUUGCUUCUCUUCAUCCAUGUUCCACCGAAGCCUCUCAACCUCCACCGUUUCGGCCAGCCUCUCCACGCGUCAUCUUCGGUUAACAACAGCAGAUCUUCUCCCAAUUUUGUUGACUCCAUCAACGAAGACCACCCAUCUUCGUGUCUUCUCUCUCUCGCGGCCAGCAAAGCUGAAGCCGCGCGCAUCCAUCACCUGCGGAGCUCAACCGAUUCUUCUCCAUAGGUUCACAAGCCGCUGCCACCUGCCCUUCUUCGGUCAACAUUGCAUCCACCGAAGACCCUGAUCUCACGUCCGCAACUCCAUAUGCGGCCAGCAAAUUCCACCGAAGGAAUCCCAGAACCCCAGCGAAGCAACAGCAUCAUCGAAGCCGUGAGUCCACGGUCUUCAGCCGCAUGAGCAACCGAAAGUCCAUCCCCUGUCCGCGUGAUUUCUCUUCUUCACCCGUAGAACAGUCGGCCCAAGCUUGCAGUCUUUGAGCCCAUCAGUCCAGCAGUUCUUCAGCCAAUUUAAUUCAAGUUGCAGCCCAGUAAUUUGAGGCCCAAUUCAGCAGAAUUUUAUUGAGGCCCAUCUCCUGCAGUCUUCAAGCCCAGUCCAAUCCAAGUGAAUUAAUUGGUCAAGCCCAGUUCAGCAGCCCAUCAACUGAAAUUGGAGGCCCAAUUUCCAGCAAAGAAAUUUGAAGCCCAAGUGAAGUCAGUCCAGAAUUUCAGCAGGCCCAAUUCAACUUGGGUCUGGCCCAAAAGCAAGAACAAAUCUCAGUUGGGCUGAGAUUUGUUGGGCCAAGGUCAAGGCCCGGUCCAAGUCCGCCGGUGUCGUCGAAAGUUCGAUUUCGGUCGCCGUCGCGUCGCCGUUGCGGUGAUUCGGUCUCCGCUUUUGUCAAGUGAGUUUUACUCACUAAUGCUUUAUUAGUUUGCUAAUUAUGCCUUAGGGUUGGUUAGAUUUAAUUACAUGCACUUAGGUGGUUAGAUUAGGUUAGAACAAUUAGUUUAGUGACUUAAUGAUGCAUGUUAGGUGGUUAGACCUAGCUAUUAGCAAGUAGAAAUGUUUGGUUAUUUAUUGAAUGCAUAUCGGGAUUUUUCCCGACCCGUUUCGGGCUCCAAUAAGGCAAUAUGGGCCUAAAUUGGAUUUUUAAUGUUUAUUUAUUUAUUUUCGAAAUUUAUUUAUUUAAUUAAUUAUUUUUCCGGAAAUUCAACCGGGAUGGCCGGUGACCGGAAUUUCGUGCCGAUUGUCGUGGUGCAGACCGUUUAUUUAAUUGAGCUCUACGUUGUGUGGAAUUGAAUUUAUUGUGGAAUUUUAGGAAUUGCCCUAAAUUGUUUGUUAUUGAAUAUUUGAUUGGUUGUUGGCCGAAUAUGGGUAUAUAGCGCCAGUAUGUUGAUGGGCUAUAUAGUAGGGAGAAUGGUGAGACCAAUCAGGUACGAUAUUAUUGGACAUACGUGGUUCGGUGAUGGGAAGUAUCACUGGCGAAAACGGCGCCUUAAAGAACGCACGUAAAUGACUUAUAGACAAACGUGGUUCGGUGGUUAUGGGAAUAUCACUGGUGAAAACGGCGCCUUAAAGAACGCACGAUGUUGUCUAUAGCCGAUGUCACCUUGGCGAAAACGGCGCCCUUGAAAGGACACGUGGUUCGGUGAUCAAGGUUAUCACUGGUGAAAACGGCGCUUUAAAGAACGCACGGUGUCGGUGAUCGGUAUGUCAUUGGCGAAAACGACGCCCGAGAAACACAUGUGAUUUGGUGAAUGAGUACACCACUGGGAAAUCGUGGUAUGAGUGGGAAUGACCUAGAAAGGGUCUGGCUGACAUGUAAUCGACUUAGUCGAUUGACCAGUGCUUGAUCGGAUGUCGUGAAUUGUUUGAAUAUCUGUGUUUAACCUUGAAUUGCAGGUUGGAACUGAGGCUAAGGUAAGUCCUCUGACUCGUGUUGUGCUUAGGCAACCGUAUGGCGUAUUAGUUUAUUAAUCAAGUCUUAGUGGGUAGGACUCGCUGAGACGUGGUCUCAUUGGUUAUUGAAUAACCAUUUCAGGACCCUAAGGAGAAGCUAAGGAAGAGGAACCUGAAGGGGAGAAAGACUUUUGAAGAAGAAGAAGAUCCAGAGAGGGAUCUUGAAUAUAACCCGGAUGUGGAUUGAGAUCCCAUCCCUUUUGUGCACCCUGUCUUAGUGUAGAUAGGUGUGAGACUUUUAUCUUGUAAAUAGUAUUGUAAAUAUUCUAUGAGUGGUGCUGUUAAAGAAAGUGUGGUUAUGAAUUUCAAUAUGAAAAAUAUGGCCUGCUUUCCUAUCCCAUUGUUUUAUUGUCUGGGGAUUUAUAACUGCUUCCGCAUGUGCUUAAUAAAAAGAAAGGGUCGGCGAUACAUAGUCCUGGGAUAUCGCAUAUAAAAAUCGACCAAGUAGAAGGAUGUACGCGCGUCCGAGGAUCGGGGCGUGACAUCCCCUUUUUGUGGUAUCAGAGCGAAGGUCAAGAUUGGAGUGAUAAGGAGCGUUGACCAUGGGAUAGUUAGUAGGAAAGGCCUUUAAAUUCAUGCUAGUUGUAGGAAAGGCAAUAUUCCUGCAUUAAGGUUUUAUUGAAUUUUGCAUAAUUGGUCUCCCCGAACUUAGGUUAUUUUAGUUCCCAUUUAAAUCGUUGCCAAAAGAGACAGAUCACAUUACCAUAGAAUUUUAUCAUCGGAGUAUACAUUUUGACUACUUCAUUAUGUUAGCAAAAUGCUCGUACAUUAGUAAUAAAACUACAUGAAUCUAAUUGCGAGAAAUUGUAAAUGGCAAGGAAUUGAUACAGUUUGAAUUGAAGUUAUAUCGAAAAUAAAUUACAAGGAAUUGAAAUUACGUAAAACGGUGACAAGGAUGAGGUUGCUAUAAUCACUCUUGUUAUGCUUUCUAUCAAUUCAGAUGACCAAAAAAAGUGACACUAUGAGCUUUGGUAAAAGUUGCCGUAAUCAUUCUUGUCAUGCUAUCUACCAAUUUAGACGAUGUUGUAUUUGUUCAAAUUUACUACAUUAGAACUGAUUUGGCAAAGUAUGCGGAGGGAACAACCAGGGACAAUGUUAGAUGAGGAACCGCUCUCAGAAUCCGCUACCGAUGAGAUUGAUGCGGUGGUGGGGAAGUGAGGGAAGCGUCACAUUGCAUUAUCGUCCAGUUUUCGGCAAUCUCUUUUUCCCACUUGAAUUAGCAGCAGCUGACGCGUGAAUCAGCAACAAGUCUUCGUUAUGUAUCAGAUCUUUGAUGAAGUUUUUUCAAACUGUUGGUGUUGAAAUUUGUACCAUGCACCUACGAGAGAAAUGUUAUUUUUUCAUGUUAUAUGAUUGGGAUCAUAUUACAGAAACUUUUUGACAAAGAGAUGAUAGCCUUAGAAUUAGGACAUCAUAUCUGUAAUAGUUGUAGUAUUGCAGAAGGGUUUGGCAAAUGGCUGUCAUCAUGUCUGAGACUUCUGCUAGCUUUUAUAUAAUAAAAAGAGUUCGUCACGUACAUAAGCUACUGAUACAAAGUAUAUGAUCAUGAAGAUAGGAACUUCUAAGUUUAUGACAUAGAUGUACGUCUUUCGAAUCUGACAAGUUUCUUCAACUCUCACGAACGUUGCUUCAUGCUGGGGGUUGUGCCUGAGGCCCCUAUUUGGCAAUCACCUUUCCUACAACAGGUCAUAUACAUAAUCAAAACUUUGCAUGUCGACUACAAGAAGAUCAAAGAAGUUGUUUAGAUUUCAUACUAAGGUUAGCAUGGAAUCAUGUAUUGAAUAACUAAGAGCAAGUGUUAGUGUGCUUAUUAAUGAGAGAGAGAGAGAGAGAGAGAGAUUCCUAAGGAACUUACAAGUGCGUACUUGAAAAGCUCUUUUGAAUCGAAGGGUGGUGAUUGUUCUUGAUAACAUUAGCUUUCCGAUAAUCCUAUCCAUUGCUUGAAAGUAAGAUAUCCUCCAAGAUUGCUUGAAAUGCAAUGCACUACAAAAUCCCAAGAACCCAAUUGUGAAUCCCGGUCCCAGGCCUGCAUAGAACCAAUUAUGGAUGUCCAGAUUGCCUACAUUAGGUUCACCUCCAUUUCGAAAAUCACCAUCUUGUCCAUCGAUAUUAGGAUGUUGUUCAUCUCCAGGGCAAACUUUUGAAAGAGGAUCUCCACAAAGUCCGUCAUUACCGCGAUACACAGAUUCAUCAUCCACGGUACGCAGAUGACUGCUUGAAGGAAUAGGGCCUGAUAAAUUAUUGAAUGAGAGACUGAGACAACUUAGAAAGUCUACGCUGGAUAUGCUAGGAGGGAUUCUACUUGAAAUCCCGUUGUUGGAUAGGUCAAGGGAUUCUAAGUUUUUGAGGUCGCCAAUGUUUGAAGGGAUUUUCCCACUCAAAUUGUUUUGAGAGAGGUUCAAAUUCUGAAGUUCGACGAGCCUAGUCAACUCUUCUGGUAUUUUGCCAUUUAAAUUGUUUGCAGAAAGGUCAAUGGAAUAGAAGAAUUGCAGUGUCUUGCCAUACAUUUGGCUAGUUCCCUUUGUAUUAACUAGGACGUUGAUUGAUGGCUUAUCCAGCCAAUAUGGUUGAUCAUUAAUAUCUCCAACCAUAGACAACAAUCCACCAAAACACAGCGGAAUGCUUCCGGAAAUGUUGUUCUGUGCUAGGCUUAAAAAAUGGAGAGAGCUAAGUUGGCAGAGUUGAGAGGGAAUGCUUCCGGUGAAACUAUUCUUCUCAAGAUCGAUCGGGGCUAAUAAUUGAGAAUGUUGUCCAAAUGGAGGAAUUUCACCAGUGAAGUCAUUAUCACUUAGAUCAAGGAGCAGGAGGUAAGUUAGGUUUGACAAACAUUUGGGAAGCACUUUGUCGAAGCCAUUUCUAUGCAGGACCAGAACUUGUAAUUGCUUCAAAUGGCAGAAAGAGUUAGUGAAAUGACCACUUAACCUGUUGUCACCGAGAAGAAUCCAUUCCAGUGCUUCCAACUUUUUCAGACAUAAGGGUAGUGUCCCGGAUAGUUGGUUCUUUGACAGAUCAAGAUAUAAUAGGUUCCCCAUUGCACAAAGUGAAUCCGGUAUGCUGCCGCUGAGACUGUUACCAGAAAGAAUCAGAAAUCGUAGCAGUUACAUCUUGUUUCCGUCAAUUCUGGAAAUGGGACAUAGCGUUAAGUAAAAUGUCGGAAAGCCAAUUGGGAAUUUCAUCUGAGGUGUUUGCAUUGGACAUGUACAAGUAUGAAAUAUUCCUCUGUAAGUAUGAAAUAUUCCUCUGUGUUUGAAGCCACAAUGGAAAUUUCGGUCCCACAUCACAACCUGACAUGUUAAUCCAUUGAACUUGGAAUGGAGGAACCCAGCCGGGAUCAAAACUUAAAACAAGUUCAUUAGACGAAGUGGACAAAUGGGUCAGGCUCGUGAGAUUAGCAAAGUGCGAUUCACUAACAACUCCAUUUAAAGAAUUAUUUGUUAUGUACAACACCUCUAGAUUAGAUAGUCGCCCAAUACUUUCUGGGAUGUUCCCACUCAAUUUGUUGUGGCUGAGAUCCAACUUUGUUAGAGAUGAUAGCUCUCCCAGAGUUACUGGAAUAGGUCCCCAAAUCAAGUUUUGUGACAGACUUAGGUACUCGAGAUCUUUGAAACUCCCCAAUUGGCUUGGUAGAAAACCACUGAAAUUAUUGGCAGUGAAAUCACAAAUCCUCAGGUUACUUUGUGCCGACUCCAAAGGACCACGGAUGAUGCUCCCAACAUCUCCAUCAAAGUUAUUAGACGCCAACCUUAAUUCAUGCAACUUGUAGAGACUGCUGAAGUUUUUCAGAAUUUGAUCGCCUAGAAAAUUAUGAGACACAUCGAGAAAGGAAAGUUGUCGAUUAUUAUCAAAGAGUGUCCUGGGAAAUGCGCCUUUCAAAUGAUUUGCCCUCAAAUCGAUAUGCUCGAGCUUGCUAAAGUUGUAGAACCAGGGAGGAAUAGUUGAAUUUAUGGAAUUGCCUGAUAGAUCCAGGAAUAUUAAAGAAGUGAAUUUGACGGAUAGAGAGUGAGGAAGUUUUUCGAGAGAACAAUCCUUCAACUGCAAAGAUUGCAGUGAAGAAAGCACAUUAAUGGAACUCAACCAAUCUGUGGCAUUCCCAAGGUCAUUGCCAGAGAGGCGAAGGUAUUUCAAGGAAGAUAAUUUCGACACCCAUUGGAGGUUAUCAGUUGUUAAAGAACCCUCGCCAAACCUACUAGCAAGAUCUAGAUAUCGCAAGUUGGACAGGUUACCGAGGUGAUGAGGUAUGUUUCCGUCAAAACCUGCAGAUGAUAGAUUAAGAUACUCUAGUCUCUGGAGAGUACCAAAAAAUUGGGGGAUUUUUUGCUUCGAAAAUUUGUUGAGGCUGAGGUCUAGAUACUUCAAAUGCUUUAGUUUAGCCAAAGAUGCAUGGAUUUUACCUGCCAAGUGUUGGAGAAAUCUUCUUGAAGUGUUUUGAAGUUGACAAAUCGUUUCUAUCAGUCUAGUCUGAAGGCUUGCAGACUCUGCUAUUUAAAGUCUGAAGACCUUGGGACAGCCAGACUCAAGACUCAAAGUCUAUCUUCAUUGACAGUCUCUAAUCCGUUGAAGAAAGGUUAUCCAGAACUGGAUGUUUCGUUGAGGAUUUAACCUUAUCAACUGGAGAAGAUCUCAUGGCUGGAGAAGACAUAAACGGAGUCCUUUGAUUGAUCGAAGAUUGAUUCGAUAAUUGAAGAUCCGGUGAUUGCCUAAAUAUUAUUGGAAGGUUCUGCUUAUGGAAACCGAGAUGCUGAUUGUAUGGGCGAACAGGAUUGAUGGGCUAUCAACACGUUCCAUUUAUAGCUUGAACAAUCUUCCUAAUUGAUUCCGUCCAACGGGUAGAUUGGAGGAAUUCCUUUUGUAAGUGCCAACGGGUAUGAUGGCAUAAAGGAGUAUAUAAGGAAGACUGUCUUAGUUGUUCAAGGUGUGCGCGAUAGAAGAAUUCCAAAGUCUGAAGCUCCUUUUUGUUUAGACAAAUCCUUUGAGCGAAUACUUGUAUACGAAAGAGAGAGUCUAUAUUUGUGAGAAAUCUUGAGGAGGUGUGGUAGAACAUCUACACUACACUGUGGAAUCAAGGCAAAGUUGUGCUGUAACCUCUUUCUUGUUCAUAGUGGAAUCCAGCCAAUAGGCUGUCAGUGAAGAAGAGUGGACGUAGGCUUGAUAUAAGCCGAACCACUAUAAACCGCGUGUUCAAUUUUCUCUUCUCUCAGUCUUACUUUCAUUAUCGUUUCAUCCAACUGUCUAGUAUUGUGCAAUUGCUUGAGAAAAAUUCUUUAUAUACCUAUUCACCCCCCCUCUAGGUACUCAUACUAGCAAUAUCAAUUGGUAUCAGAGCCUGUGUACUUACUUUAUUUGAAGUGUUUUACUUCGUAGUAAAAGAUCCAUGGCUAGUAUGCUAGCACCAGGGCUGAUGGAAGGGCAAAGCAAUACCAGACCACCCUACUUUGAUGGAAAGGAUUACAACAUCUGGAAGAACAAGAUGAAAGCUUUCCUUCGAUCAAAGGAUCCUCUGGAAUGGGACGUUGUAGAAAAAGGAAUUACUCCUACCACUGCAUCAGUCUCUGAAAGAGGAAAAGAAACUGAUGAAACCAUCGGAAUGUCUCAGGAAGAAAUAAUCAAGAGACAAACACUCGAUGCAAAAGCAAUUUACUCCUUAUAUUGUGCUUUAUCACCAACUGAAUAUAAUAGAAUAUCUUCUUGUGGUACAGCAAAAGAAGUUUAGGACAGAUUGCAUAUCACCUAUGAAGGAACAGAUCGAGUGAAGGAAACUAGAAUCAACAUUCUUCUCGGUCAAUAUGAAGCCUUCAGAAUGAAACCAGGAGAAUCUAUAUCUGACAUGUUUAGUCGUUUUACAGAUAUUGUGAAUGGUCUUGAAAAUCAAGGUCAACCAACUUCUGAUCCCAUGAAGGUAAACAAGCUACUGCGUGGACUCUCUAGGGAUUGGAAUCACAUAAAGACUUCGAUAAGAGAGACGCAAAGAAUUAUGCCACUAUCUAUCGACGAGCUAAUUGGAACUCUUCAGUCUUAUGAAGUGGAACGGAUCAAUGAAGAUGAAGAUCCAAAAGGUAAGAAAUCCAUUGCAUUAAAAUCAAAUGAUGAUUCUGAUGAUACAGAUUCUGAAGAAGAUAUGGACGAUGAGGAGCUUGCUCUCAUGAUAAGAAGAUUCAGAAAACUGAAUAGAAAAGGAAGAAGGUUCAACUCAAAGAAACAAAGCUUUCAAAGACAGCAGACCAAGUCUGUUGAUGAUGAGGAACCAAACAAAGACAUAGUCUGCUUUGAAUGUAAGAAAAAGGGACACAUCAGACCCAACUGUCCUCUUCUGAAGAAGAAGAAAGGAAAAGCUGAAAGAUUUCGAAAAGCUCUCAAAGCCGAAACCUGGAGUGACACAGAGUGUGAAGAAAGUGAUGAUGAAUAUGCCAAUCUAUGUCUGAUGGCACAAUCAGACUCAGACUCUGGAUCAGACUCAGACAGUGAAUUUGAGGCAAGUGAUAUUAAAAUUCCUGUCAAAGUUUCUAAAUAUAUUGAUGAAUUAUGUUUCAGUCUUAAGACUUCUCUCAAAAGAAUUUCCGAACUGAAAAAGGAAAACUCAGCUCUAAAAAAAAAGGAAAAUGUUUUAGUAGAAAGAGUUAAAAGUCUAGACUUGAUUGUUUCCAAUCUUAAAGAAAAUGGAGAUAAUCUUUCAAAAGAAAAUGUCUUUUUAAAAACAGACUUAUCAAAUAUAUCAAAGAAAUUUUCAAUAGGGUCUGAAAAACUUGAGAAAAUUCUUUCAGCACAAAGACCUUACUUCAAUAAGUCCGGUCUAGGAAUGUCAGAAGAAACAAUUCCCCUGAUUGAUUUUCCUAAAGUAAAAGAAAGAAUUAAGAAAAGACUCUCGAGAGAGGUUUACAAAAAUCACUUCAAGAAAGUUUUUGUAAAAUCUGUAGGAAGAAAUGCUCUAAAAUGUUCAAAAUGCAACAGUCCGGAUCACUUUGAGAAAGAGUGUCCUAUGAUUUGGAAACCUGUUAAGAGAAUAUGGGCUAAUACUGCUUAUGUUACUAACACAAAAGGACCCAAGAAAGUUUGGGUACCAAAGAAAGCUUGAGACUCUUUUUUAAAUGCAGGUCACCGUCAAGAAAAAGGUAAAGUGGUAUCUUGACAGUGGAUGCUCAAGACACAUGACAGGAGACUCAAAUUGUUUUAUAAAGAUUGCUCAAGUAAAUGGUGGAAAAGUUUCAUUUGGAGGAAACAACAAAGGGAGUAUUGUGGGAUUUGGAACUGUGAAAAUUGGAAAUCUCACAAUAAACGAAGCCAGCUUAUGGCACAGAAAGCUUGGUCAUGUCAACAUGAAGCAAUUAGCCAAAAUCUCAUCAAAGCAGCUUGUUCAAGGACUACCCAAAUUACCUUAUCAAAAGACUGAUCCAUGCACUCCAUGUAUUCUGGGAAAACAGGUAAGAAAUUCAUUCAAGCCAAUAAAUCAUGUCUCUACUAAUCAUGUACUACAGUUGCUGCAUAUGGAUCUCUUCGGACCAACCAGAACACAGAGUAUUGGAGGUAAGAAAUAUUGCCUAGUAAUUGUGGACGAUUACUCCCGUUUUACUUGGGUAUAUUUCCUUGCAAGUAAGUCUGAAACCUUCUCGUAUUUUGAAAAGUUUGCUAAAAAGGUUCAAAAUGAAAAAGGAUGUGUUAUCUCAAGUAUAAGAACAGAUCAUGGAGGUGAAUUUGAAAAUCAAGAUUUUACAAAAUUUUGUGAUGAAUCUGGCUUUAAUCAUGUGUUCUCCUCUCCAUAUACUCCUCAGCAAAAUGGAGUUAUGGAAAGAAAGAACAGAUCUCUUCAGGAAAUGGCUAGAACUCUUUUAAUUGAAAGCAAGAUUUCUUCACGAUUUUGGGCUGAAGCUGUUUCAACAGCAUGUUAUAUCAUCAAUAGAGUCUUCUUAAGACCUAUUCUAGAGAAAACCCCUUACGAAUUGUUCAAAGAUAAGAAGCCUAUUGUUUCAUACUUUCAUGUAUUCGGUUGCAAAUGUUUUAUAUUGAAAAAUGCAAAAGAUCGAGUUGGUAAGUUUGAAGAAAGAUCAGAUGAAGGUAUCUUCCUUGGAUAUUCUACAUCAAGCAAAGCCUUCAGAGUCUAUAACAAGAAGAGCUAGUCUAUGGAGGAGUCAAUGAAUGUCAAAUUCCAAGACUCAACGGAAGAUGAAUCAAGUCAGACUCAUUAAGAAGAGUCUGAACCUGCUCCAGAUCUUCCAAAGCUUACAUCUCAAGAAGCAUCUCAGACUCUGGAAAAUCAGCUUCAAGAUGUUCGUGAAAAUCCAAACAAAGAAAGAGAUCAUCAACCAGACAGAUCAACGAGUAACUAGAAGCAUAAGUCCAGUCAUCCCAAAGAUCUUAUAAUCGGCGAAAUGAAUGAAGGAAUUCGCACCAGAUCCAAAAGGCGAGAAGAGUCUAGUGCUGUGGCUCUCGUUUCUGAAAUUGAACCAAAAAGCAUAGAAGAAGCUUUAUCUGAUGAAAGCUGGAUUGAAGCUAUGCAAGAAGAGCUCAGACAGUUUAGCAUUAAUGAUGUCUGGGAAUUGACAUCCAAACCAAAAGGUAAAACUGUUAUUGGAGCUAAAUGGGUGUUCAGAAACAAGAUAAAUGAGAAAGGAAAAGUCGUACGAAACAAAGCAAGACUCGUGGCCAAGGGAUAUACGCAAGAAGAAGGAAUAGACUAUGAUGAGACUUAUGCUCCAGUAGCAAGGUUAGAAGCUAUUCGACUAUUACUUGCGUUUGCUUGUUAUAAGAAUUUCAGGUUAUUCCAAAUGGACGUCAAAAGCGCCUUCCUAAAUGGAGUCAUCCAAGAGGAAGUUUAUGUGGAACAACCACCAGGGUUUGAAGACCCAAAGAAGCCAGACUCAGUCUUCAGACUGAAGAAGGCUCUGUAUGGUUUAAAGCAAGCACCUCGAGCUUGGUACGACAGAUUAAGUAAGUUUUUAAUACAAAAUGGUUUUGUCAAAGGUAAAGUGGAUACUACUUUAUUUAUCAAAAAGGAGAACAAAAGUUUCUUACUUGUUCAAAUAUAUGUGGACGACAUUAUAUUCGGAUCUUCUAAUGAAAAUAUGUGCAAGAAAUUUUCUAAGUCUAUGCAGGAUGAAUUUGAAAUGAGUAUGAUGGGAGAGUUAACAUUCUUUCUUGGUCUUCAAGUAAAACAAUUGAAGGAAGGAACCUUUAUUUAUCAAGAAAAAUAUGUUAAUGAUCUUGUCAAAAAAUUUGGACUGGAAAAGUGCAAAAAGACCGACAUACCGAUGUCAAGUUCUUUGAAGAUAGACAAAGAUGAAGAAGGGAAGAAAGUUGAUCAAAAGCUGUACAGAAGCAUCAUUGGUUCACUCCUUUAUCUUACUACUUCUAGACCUGACAUCUUGUUGAGUGUUUGCAUCUGUGCUAGGUUUCAAUCAGAUCCUAGAGAAUCCCAUCUUAGUGCUGCGAAACGCAUCAUUAAAUACGUUGCUUCAUCAUCAAGCAUCAGUCUUUGGUAUCCUAAGAAGGGAGACUUUAAUCUUCUGGGAUAUUCAGACGCAGAUCUGGCCGGUUGCAGAGUUGAUAGAAAGAGCACUUCGGGAACUUGCCAGUUGCUUGGAAGCAGGACAGUGUCUUGGUUUUCAAGGAAACAAAGCACUGUGUCUCUUUCAACAACAGAAGCAGAGUAUGUAGCCCUGGGAAGCUGCUGUUCGCAAAUUCUAUGGAUAAAACAACAGCUAAGAGACUUUGAAAUUGAAGACUCAUGCACGGAGAUUAAUUGCGACAACACCAGCGCUAUCAACCUCACCAAAAAUCCAAUUCUCCACUCAAGAGCAAAGCAUAUAGAGAUUCGACAUCAUUUUAUAAGAGACCAUGUUCAAAAUGGAGAUGUUUCAAUUCAAUUUGUUGACUCAAAGAAUCAACUGGCGGAUAUAUUCACAAAGCCUUUGGAGAAAAAUCAAUUUGAGUCUAUACGCUCGAGACUCAACAUUUUGAGGUAUGAGGAUAUCAAAGUCUAAAGACUUUCAGACUCAGACUUACAAGACUUUAUCUGAAAGACAGUCUUGGUACGUCCGUCAGACUGUAAGUCUUUCUAUCUUGAAUCUCAACUUGAAAAGGUACGAUUGUCAGACUGUGUUCAAAUUGUUGCUAUAUUUAAUUGAAGUAAAUAUUGCAUCGUUUCAUUUUCAAAAGGGAAGUUAUUUUUUAAAUUGCUAUUUUUGCGGAAAAAGACAGUUAUUUUGAAAAGGCAUAUUUUUAUUUCCUUUAUGACGGUUCGUUUAUCCCUCUUUUAACCGAUCUUGAACUGUCGAUUCCUCUUCACUUUUCUCUCAAAAACCCUAGAAAACAUCGAUCCUCCAUUCCCGUUUGUCUUAUUCGUUUAAUCCUCAAAAAGUUGUCAUCUUUCCUGGGAAAGUCAAGCAAGGAAUCUUCCAAAAACUGAUAAAGAUGUCAUCUUCAAGAAAGUCUUCGAGAAUUGCAAGCAGGGGACCACGGCGGAUGAGUGAGGGGCCUACGCACUUCGAUCUUACUGAAGAUGAAGUGACUCCAGAUCAGCAAGCGAGCCCACAACAUUCUCAACAGCGUCAUUCUCCUCCAUCUAGUCCUCAAGGCGUUGAUCAUCAACAACAGGAAGAAAUCAUCGAGGAUGCAGACCCUGUAAGAGUUCAAAAGCCCGCUUAUAUUUAUCAGUUAUAUCGUGCCCUAAAAGGAAUUUGUACUCCUUUGAACUACAUUGAUGAUUUUCUUAAAGACAAAGGACAUGGGAACGAAUAUAUCUUUCUGAAAAAAAUGGAAAGUUUGGGAAUUGCUCGAAAAGGGUGGCUGAGGAAACCCUUGCAAAUAUCCCAAGUGAUCCUCGUGACUGGGGGCCGAAUCCUGUAGAUGGGAAUGAUGAUGAUAAAUUGUACAGUCAAUUCCAACCGAAAAUGGGUGUUGCUGUUGAUAACCAAGGAAAAAGGGGAGGAUUUGUUCAGAUCAAAGGAGCAAAAGGAUCUGUACUCGAAUUUGCUGAAGCGUGGGGUGAUAAACCCUAGGAGUGUAGAUUUUGAUUUUCUGGAUGCUGUGGAUAUGAACUUGAGAAAAGUUCAGUUAUCUUCAACUUUGAAAAGUUCUGCCUCUGACUCUAAGGAGGGCCUAUGCUGAAUUAACUGCNNNNNNNNNNNNNNNNNNNNNNNNNNNNNNNNNNNNNNNNNNNNNNNNNNNNNNNNNNNNNNNNNNNNNNNNNNNNNNNNNNNNNNNNNNNNNNNNNNNNNNNNNNNNNNNNNNNNNNNNNNNNNNNNNNNNNNNNNNNNNNNNNNNNNNNNNNNNNNNNNNNNNNNNNNNNNNNNNNNNNNNNNNNNNNNNNNNNNNNNNNNNNNNNNNNNNNNNNNNNNNNNNNNNNNNNNNNNNNNNNNNNNNNNNNNNNNNNNNNNNNNNNNNNNNNNNNNNNNNNNNNNNNNNNNNNNNNNNNNNNNNNNNNNNNNNNNNNNNNNNNNNNNNNNNNNNNNNNNNNNNNNNNNNNNNNNNNNNNNNNNNNNNNNNNNNNNNNNNNNNNNNNNNNNNNNNNNNNNNNNNNNNNNNNNNNNNNNNNNNNNNNNNNNNNNNNNNNNNNNNNNNNNNNNNNNNNNNNNNNNNNNNNNNNNNNNNNNNNNNNNNNNNNNNNNNNNNNNNNNNNNNNNNNNNNNNNNNNNNNNNNNNNNNNNNNNNNNNNNNNNNNNNNNNNNNNNNNNNNNNNNNNNNNNNNNNNNNNNNNNNNNNNNNNNNNNNNNNNNNNNNNNNNNNNNNNNNNNNNNNNNNNNNNNNNNNNNNNNNNNNNNNNNNNNNNNNNNNNNNNNNNNNNNNNNNNNNNNNNNNNNNNNNNNNNNNNNNNNNNNNNNNNNNNNNNNNNNNNNNNNNNNNNNNNNNNNNNNNNNNNNNNNNNNNNNNNNNNNNNNNNNNNNNNNNNNNNNNNNNNNNNNNNNNNNNNNNNNNNNNNNNNNNNNNNNNNNNNNNNNNNNNNNNNNNNNNNNNNNNNNNNNNNNNNNNNNNNNNNNNNNNNNNNNNNNNNNNNNNNNNNNNNNNNNNNNNNNNNNNNNNNNNNNNNNNNNNNNNNNNNNNNNNNNNNNNNNNNNNNNNNNNNNNNNNNNNNGCAGACCCAGAGGAUGUUUAUGCAUCUCAAUUUCCAUAAGAAGGUCAUGAAGUUUCAUCGCCAAACCUGCAAGAUUAUGCUGAUCUACCAUCAUCUGCAUUUACUCCAUCAGAUCGAGCCGAAGCAAGUACUCAAACUGAUAAUGGAGCAGAUUUUCGCAGAAUCAUGGAUAUUCUUUUGGAAAUGCGAGGUCAGAUUUAUGCCUUGGGAUGCGAAGUUCAAAGCUUGAAGAAUGAAGGUCAAGCUUCUUCCUGUUCAUUGAAUGAUAAAAUGCAAGCCCUCUCUGUUCAGAAUCAGGCCAAUGCCAAGAGUGAGGAGAUUGCACAGCUAAAGGAAGACUUUAAAAGGCUGGAAGGCAUCGUUCAGUCUAUGGAAGAUUUCUAGCUUGUCCGCGUUCCCAAGCAAUCUUAACUUCAUCUCAUCCUUUUUAAUGAUGACAAAAAGGGGGAGAGAUGCAAGUUUUGAUCAAAAACCUUUCAUUCAACUUUUAACUGUUUUGUUGGAUUGUUUUGUGGUUUGAAUCUGUUUGACUUUGGUUUGUGUCUGGAUGAGAACUGAACUAGACUUGGACUUGACUGCUUCUAUUAACUAAUAUUGAUAUCUUAUGGAUGGCUUCUUCAUAUUCUGGACUAACCUAUUUUCUGUGGUUGCAGAUUCUAGUGUUAUUCUGUUAAGCCAUUUACCUCUAUAAGAUAUGCAUAUGUGUUUGAGAAAUGUUUUGCAGGUCAAAGAUAUCCAAAUCUGCAGGAAAGUUUUGUCACCAUCAAAAAGGGGGAGAUUGUUGGAGAAAUCUUCUUGAAGUGUUUUGAAGUUGACAAAUCGUUUCUAUCAGUCUAGUCUGAAGGCUUGCAGACUCUGCUAUUUAAAGUCUGAAGACCUUGGGACAGCCAGACUCAAGACUCAAAGUCUAUCUUCAUUGACAGUCUCUAAUCCGUUGAAGAAAGGUUAUCCAGAACUGGAUGUUUCGUUGAGGAUUUAACCUUAUCAACUGGAGAAGAUCUCAUGGCUGGAGAAGACAUAAACGGAGUCCUUUGAUUGAUCGAAGAUUGAUUCGAUAAUUGAAGAUCCGGUGAUUGCUUAAAUAUUAUUGGAAGGUUCUGCUUAUGGAAACCGAGAUGCUGAUUGUAUGGGCGAACAGGAUUGAUGGGCUAUCAACACGUUCCAUUUAUAGCUUGGACAAUCUUCCUAAUUGAUUCCGUCCAACGGGUAGAUUGGAGGAAUUCCUUUUGUAAGUGCCAACGGGUAUGAUGGCAUAAAGGAGUAUAUAAGGAAGAUUGUCUUAGUUGUUCAAGGUGUGCGCGAUAGAAGAAUUCCAAAGUCUGAAGCUCCUUUUUGUUUAGACAAAUCCUUUGAGCGAAUACUUGUAUACGAAAGAGAGAGUCUAUAUUUGUGAGAAAUCUUGAGGAGGUGUGGUAGAACAUCUACACUACACUGUGGAAUCAAGGCAAAGCUGUGCUGUAACCUCUUUCUUGUUCAUAGUGGAAUCCAGCCAAUAGGCUGUCAGUGAAGAAGAGUGGACGUAGGCUUGAUAUAAGCCGAACCACUAUAAACCGCGUGUUCAAUUUUCUCUUCUCUCAGUCUUACUUUGAUUAUCGUUUCAUCCAACUGUCUAGUAUUGUGCAAUUGCUUGAGAAAAAUUCUUUAUAUACCUAUUCACCCCCCUCUAGGUACUCAUACUAGCAAUAUCACCAAGCUGCUCUUAUCUAGACAUGAGAUAUAUCCGUCGGGGGAGGUCUCAAAGCAUGGAUUACGAAGAUCGAGUUUGAAAACAUGGCCAGUCUUUUUGCUGCAUUCGACUCCUUUCCACUUACAACAGUCCUUACUUGUCCAUGAUGACAAGCGUUUAGAAUGGUCGAUGAGACCUUGCCUGAAUUUCAAGAGAGCUUCUCUCUCUGUACCAAAGCAGCUCACAUUGGUGAAAGCUUCAGAAUGGCCAAACUCAAAUGAUUGAAACACGAGAAGAGUCCACAAUAUGAGGGGUGCAAAGGCAGGGGCUGAUGCCAUUGCUUUCGAUAAUAUGGGAUUAGGAAAUGCGGUAUACUUCCUCCGUUUUAUGGUGACAUGGGUCUUGGAAAGAUCUUAAUUGAACUUCAUCAAGAAAAGGACAUUACUCGUUUCUUACUUAUUUGAUUUGGCCAUCACUCUCGAUCAACGUUGUGACACCCCGAAUCCUAAUAGAAAAAGGGAAUGACACGGCUGUCAUUUGGAUUCUAUGCAACAAAGAUAUUUAUUAAUAACUCAAAAUAUAUCAAAUCUUCAUCACUUUAAAAUGUGAGUUUACAAAUUCAUAGAAUAGAUAGCACAACUUAUCUCAAAAUGCCUAUGACCAAACAACAAACGUUACUUGAAUUGUCAAAUUCGCGAUUCUAUCAAAUAAUCGAUAAACAACGUUAAAAUAAAGUAAAACACUACCUCAACUACAAAAUGGUUAAACUACGCCUAAAUGCUAACGAAACAACUUAUACGUACUAACAAAUGACAUAUCUAAAACGAUUAUUCAAGCCAUUUGCAAAGUGAAACUUGAACGCAAAAUCUUAAAAUUUCGCUUCAACUAAACUGUUAAUUCAAAUAAACUUUCACAAAAUCUCACGGUUCUACAACGACAUAAUUUAUAUUUUCCAUGAAAUCCCGGAGCUCCACAGCUCAAGAAAUUGAACUUUGCAGCUCAAUUUUCACUAAAUUUUAACUUUGAGCCAUAUUUCUGAAAACUACUCUAAUUAGACAAACAAAGGGCACCAGCACUUACCGGAUGUUGCGAUAUGAAGUCGAAUCAGCUUGGCGAAGCGUCUAUGGCGUGAAUGCGCAAAACCCUCUCUCUCUUUUCCUGCUCUUCUUCUUUCCCUUUUUCUCUAUCCUUUUCUUUCUGUUUGUGUGAGUCUCGGCCCGUCGGCCCGUCUUUAAAAGCUGAAGGUGUCCACUAUUCCUUGUUUUUGUUGACUCAAUCAACUUCGUCUUUUUUUUUUGCUUUGAUCGAGUCAAAGUCCAUAUUUACAAAUGCGAUGAAAGACUGCCAUGUUCUGGAGAUGCCUUCCAAGCCAGGACCAACCAAUCACCAGAGUGCAGCCAAAAGCCUAAGUGCAAUCUUCGGCAAGGUAUUGGACAGGAGUAUGAGAGUCAAUGGUCAAAAGUUUGAUUGAUAAUAACGUACUUAUGUCGAUCCUUCUUCAAUUUGUGCGAACGCGAUUGAUUCUACUUGCAAACCGAUCCGUGAUCAGCAAUCUCCACGAUUCGCCCAAAUUGAUUUAAGGGCACCAAAAUGACAAGCAACCUGUAAGAUUAAAUAGAUAUCAACCUACAUUAGCCAUAGAUAACACCUUUCCAUCUCUGGAUCCACUUAAAACUUGACAUAUUACGAAAGUGGUGUAAGAUAAUUCGAUCGCUAAAUUCUUAUAACCCCGCGACAUUAGGCAAUUGCAAUUGGACUCUCGAGUCUCUUAACUAUUUGACUUUUCCCCAUCGAUGUCGCCUAGUAGAUGUAUACAUGGGCAUAACUAUUCUAUCAAGUGUUAAUCCACCUCUAAACCAAAUGGAUUGCGAGGAAAAUUCCGAGGACUUACAAGUUGGAAAUCAAAAGCUGUGACUGAUAAUCAAGUGUGGAAGCCGGUAGAAUAUGUAAAUUAUAAAUUACGCAUUCAACUAACAGCUUAAAUUUUUAUAUUAGUUAGUCGUGAUCUCACAAAAUCUUACAUUAUAUUAGAGUUGAAAGUCCUGAUUUCAAAUCUUAUUAAGUCCCAUUUGCCUCUCUAAUCAAAUAUGUCCAUGCUUAGUAUUAGGCAAAAGGAUCAAACUAAGCGUGAGGAGGAGUGUUAUAAUAUUUAUAUAAUAAACAACAUUUUCAGCUAACAGCUUAAGCUUUUAAAACAGUUGGUAGAUGUCACACAAAAUCUUUCAGAAACAAACAAGAAAUGAUGUGAAAAGAAAAUAGCAAGAACGAUAGAGAGAUAAAGUAAACACUGGAAAACUUUGGCCCAAAGCUGUCGUAGUCAAUGCGAAACCUUUAAAGGUUUCUUUUUUACUAGAAUCUACUAACGUGUUUCUUUCUUCAUGUACCAACCAUUUGAGAUGAGUCUAUGAAUGCUUUAUGACCUCUUUCUUGUUAUGACCAUUUGGUAGUUUCCUCUUUUAUAGUUCUUUUAACAAACAAAAAUCUAGAAAUGACUCGGACCACUUAGAUCACAGAAUCAAAUCAAAAUAAAAGCAACUUGGCAUUCUCGACAUCAAAUUCGUGAAGCACAGUUGUCAACGAAAUCUUCCUGAUUUGGUUUCGAUUUAGGCCGUGACUGAAUGUGUGGAUCAAUAGUUUUGUGUUGGUGUUCCACUUUCUUUUAUUAUAUGGUCGACUGUUGGUCCCCUGAGUACUCCACCUCCUUUUUAGCUGUUCUAUUCUCCCCAGGAUGAUGCAUCUCGUGUUUUGCAAAAUUGAUCAUCUGCUUGUCUUUUGACAUGUCUUCUUUCUUCAAACACAACAUAUGCUUACACAUAUCAAUCGCUAAUACUUUUUUACAUGGUGAACCAGCCCCCUUUGCUCAUCCAAGUGUAACUUUUUUGACUACUGCCGCAUUUAGAUAGAGGUGAUCAUCCACGUCUUGACGAAGAGUACAUGACCAAAUCGAUAUACACGUGCAUUGUCCAAAAAUUGUAUCCUCUUGUAUCGGAACCCUCUUCUCACGGGUAAAUUUCCUCUUAGAAUGGUGCAUGGUAAAAAAUUCGUCAUUGACAUUGAACAUCAAUUGCACCAUGUUAAUCUUUGGUCGAAAUCACUUUUCUCAAGCUUAAUUAAAUGAACCAAGACAUGGUCAAAGUGGACACACACGAAUUUUAUUUUAGAUAGUUGUGAUCUUACAAAAUCUUACAUUAUAUUAGAGUUGAAGGUCCUAAUUUCAAAUCUUAUCAAGCCACAUUUGCCUCCCCAAUCAAAUAUGUCCAUGCUUAGUAUUAGGCAAAAGGAUCAGACUAACUGUGAAGAUGAGUGCUAUAAUAAUAAUUUAAUAAACCACAUUUUCAUCUAACAGCUUAAGGUUUUUAAAACAGUUGGCAGAGGUUUCACAAAAUCUUUUAGAAAUAAACAAGGAAUGCCGUGAAAAGAAAAUAGCAAGAAUGAUAGAGAGAUAAAGUAAACAUCGGAAAACUUUGGCCUUAAGUUGUCGUAGUCAAUGUGAAACCUUUAAAGGUUUCAUUUUGAAUAGAACCUACCAACGUGUUUCUUCCUUCAUGUACCAACCAUUUGAGAUGAGUCUAUGAAUGCUUUACGACCUCUUUCUUGUUAUGACCAUUUGGUAGUUUCCUCUUUUAUAAUUCUUUUAACAAACAAAAAUCUAGAAAUGACUCGGACCACUUAGACCACAAAAUCAAAUCAAAAUAAAAGCAACUCGGCAUUCUCGACAUCAAAUUCGUGACGCACAGUUGUCAUCGAAAUCGUCCUGAUUUGGUUUCGAUUUAGGCCGCGAUUGAAUGUGUGGAUCAAUAGUUUUGUGCCGGUGUUCCACUUUCUUUUAUUAUAUGGUCGACUAUUGGUCCUUUGAGUGCUCCACCUUCUUUUUAGCUUGUUCUAUUCUCCCCAAGAUUAUGCAUCUCGUGUUUUGCAAAAUUGAUCAUCCGCUUGUAUUUUGACAUGUCUUCUUUCUUAAACACAUCAUAUGCUUACACAUAUCAAUCGUUAAUACUUUUUUACAUGGCGAACCAGCCCCCUUUGCUCAUCCAAGUGUAACUUUUUUGACUACUGCCGCGUUUAGACAGAGGUGAUCAUCCACGUCUUGAUGAAGAGUACAUGACCAAAUCGAUAUACAUGUGUAUUGUCCAAAAAUUGUAUCCUCUUGUAGCGGAACCCUCUUCUCACGGGUAAAUUUCCUCUUAGAAUGGUGCAUGGUAAAAAAUUCGGCAUUGACAUUGAACAUCAAUUGCACCAUAUUAAUCUUAGGUCGAAAUCACUUUUCUUGAGCUUAAUUAAAUGAACCAAGACAUGGUCAAAGUGGACAUGCACUAAUUUUAUAUUAGUUAGUCGUGAUCUCACAAAAUCUUACAUUAUAUUAGAGUUGAAGGUCCUGAUUUCAAAUCUUAUCGUGCCCCAUUUGCCUCCCCAAUCAAAUAUGUCCAUGCUUAGUAUUAGGCAAAAGGAUCAGACUAACAGUGAAGAGGAGAGCUAUAAUAUUUAUAUAAUAAACCACAUUUUCGUCUAACGGCUUAAGAUUUUUAAAACAGUUGGAAGAGGUCUCACAAAAUCUUUUAGAAACAAACAAGAAAUGCCGUGAAAAGAAAAUAGCAAGAAUGAUAGAGAGAUAAAGUAAACAUCGGAAAACUUUGGCCUUAAGUUGUCGUAGUCAAUGUGAAACCUUUAAAGGUUUCAUUUUGAAUAGAACCUACCAACGUGUUUCUUCCUUCAUGUACCAACCAUUUGAGAUGAGUCUAUGAAUGCUUUACGACCUCUUUCUUGUUAUGACCAUUUGGUAGUUUCCUCUUUUAUAAUUCUUUUAACAAACAAAAAUCUAGAAAUGACUCGGACCACUUAGACCACAAAAUCAAAUCAAAAUAAAAGCAACUCGGCAUUCUCGACAUCAAAUUCGUGACGCACAGUUGUCAUCGAAAUCGUCCUGAUUUGGUUUCGAUUUAGGCCGCGAUUGAAUGUGUGGAUCAAUAGUUUUGUGCCGGCGUUCCACUUUCUUUUAUUAUAUGGUCGACUAUUGGUCCUUUGAGUGCUCCACCUUCUUUUUAGCUUGUUCUAUUCUCCCCAAGAUUAUGCAUCUCGUGUUUUGCAAAAUUGAUCAUCCACUUGUCUUUUGACAUGUCUUCUUUCUUCAACACAUCAUAUGCUUACACAUAUCACUAGCUAAUACUUUUUUACAUGGCGAACCAGCCCCCUUUGCUCAUCCAAGUGUAACUUUUUCGACUACUGCUGCAUUCAGACAGAGGUGAUCAUCCACGUCUUGACGAAGAGUACAUGACCAAAUCGAUAUACACGUGUAUUAUCCAAAAAUUGUAUCCUCUUGUAGCGGAACCCUCUUCUCAUGGGUAAAUUUCCUCUUAGAAUGGUGCAUGGUAAAAAAUUCGGCAUCGACAUUAAACAUCAAUUGCACCAUACUAAUCUUAGGUCGAAAUCACUUUUCUUGAGCUUAAUUAAAUGAACCAAGACAUGGUCAAAGUGGACAUGCACUAAUUUUAUAUUAGUUAGUCGUGAUCUCACAAAAUCUUACAUUAUAUUAGAGUUGAAGGUCCUGAUUUCAAAUCUUAUCGUGCCCCAUUUGCCUCCCCAAUCAAAUAUGUCCAUGCUUAGUAUUAGGCAAAAGGAUCAGACUAACAGUGAAGAGGAGAGCUAUAAUAUUUAUAUAAUAAACCACAUUUUCGUCUAACGGCUUAAGAUUUUUAAAACAGUUGGAAGAGGUCUCACAAAAUCUUUUAGAAACAAACAAGAAAUGCCGUGAAAAGAAAAUAGCAAGAAUGAUAGAGAGAUAAAGUAAACAUCGGAAAACUUUGGCCUUAAGUUGUCGUAGUCAAUGUGAAACCUUUAAAGGUUUCAUUUUGAAUAGAACCUACCAACGUGUUUCUUCCUUCAUGUACCAACCAUUUGAGAUGAGUCUAUGAAUGCUUUACGACCUCUUUCUUGUUAUGACCAUUUGGUAGUUUCCUCUUUUAUAAUUCUUUUAACAAACAAAAAUCUAGAAAUGACUCGGACCACUUAGACCACAAAAUCAAAUCAAAAUAAAAGCAACUCGGCAUUCUCGACAUCAAAUUCGUGACGCACAGUUGUCAUCGAAAUCGUCCUGAUUUGGUUUCGAUUUAGGCCGCGAUUGAAUGUGUGGAUCAAUAGUUUUGUGCCGGUGUUCCACUUUCUUUUAUUAUAUGGUCGACUAUUGGUCCUUUGAGUGCUCCACCUUCUUUUUAGCUUGUUCUAUUCUCCCCAAGAUUAUGCAUCUCGUGUUUUGCAAAAUUGAUCAUCCGCUUGUAUUUUGACAUGUCUUCUUUCUUAAACACAUCAUAUGCUUACACAUAUCAAUCGUUAAUACUUUUUUACAUGGCGAACCAGCCCCCUUUGCUCAUCCAAGUGUAACUUUUUUGACUACUGCCGCGUUUAGACAGAGGUGAUCAUCCACGUCUUGAUGAAGAGUACAUGACCAAAUCGAUAUACAUGUGUAUUGUCCAAAAAUUGUAUCCUCUUGUAGCGGAACCCUCUUCUCACGGGUAAAUUUCCUCUUAGAAUGGUGCAUGGUAAAAAAUUCGGCAUUGACAUUGAACAUCAAUUGCACCAUAUUAAUCUUAGGUCGAAAUCACUUUUCUUGAGCUUAAUUAAAUGAACCAAGACAUGGUCAAAGUGGACAUGCACUAAUUUUAUAUUAGUUAGUCGUGAUCUCACAAAAUCUUACAUUAUAUUAGAGUUGAAGGUCCUAAUUUCAAAUCUUAUCAUGCCCAUUUGCCUCCCCAAUCAAAUAUGUCCAUGCUUAGUAUUAGGCAAAAGGAUUAGACUAACAGUGAAGAGGAGAGCUAUAAUAUUUAUAUAAUAAACCACAUUUUCAUCUAACGGCUUAAGAUUUUUAAAACAGUUGGAAGAGGUCUCACAAAAUCUUUUAGAAACAAACAAGAAAUGCCGUGAAAAGAAAAUAGCAAGAACGAUAGAGAGAUAAAGUAAACAUUGGAAAACUUUGGCCCAAAGCUGUCGUAGUCAAUGCGAAACCUUUAAAGGUUUCAUUUUGACUAGAACGUACAACCGUGUUUCUUCCUUCAUGUACCAACCAUUUGAGAUGAGUCUAUGAAUGCUUUAUGACCUCUUUCUUGUUAUGACCAUUUGGUAGUUUCCUCUUUUAUAGUUCUUUUAACAAACAAAAAUCUAGAAAUGACUCGGACUACCUAGACCAUAGAAUCAAAUCAAAAUAAAAGCAACUCGGCAUUCUCGACAUCAAAUUCGUGACGCACAGUUGUCACCUAAAUCUUCCCGAUUUGGUUUCAAUUUAGGCCGACUGAAUGUGGGGAUCAAUAGUUUUGUGCUGGUGUUCCACUUUCUUUUAUUAUAUGGUCGAUGUUGGUCCUCUGAGUGCUCCACCUUCUUUUUAGCUUGUUUUAUUCUCCCCAGGAUGACGCAUCUCGUGUUUUGCAAAUUUGAUCAUCUGCUUGUCUUUUGAUAUGUCUUCUUUCUUCAACACAUCAUAUGCUUACAUAUAUCAAUCACUAAUACUUUUUUACAUGGCGAACCAGCCCCCUUUGCUCAUCCAAGUGUAACUUUUUCGACUACUGCCGCAUUUAGACAGAGGUGAUCAUCCACGUCUUGACGAAGAGUACAUGACCAAAUCGAUAUACACGUGCAUUGCCCAAAAAUUGUAUCCUCUUGUAUUGGAACCCUCUUCUCACGGGUAAAUUUCCUCUUAGAAUGGUGCAUGGUGAAAAAUUUGGCAUCGACUUUGAACAUCAAUUGCACCAUGUUAAUCUUAGGUCAAAAUCACUUUUCUCGAGCUUAAUUGAAUGAACCAAGACAUGGUCAAAGUGGGCAUACACGAAUUAUAUGCUAAUUGAAAUCAUAUCUUUGACUUCAAGUAUCGACGCUAGUUGCAACAGUCAAAGCUAAACCCUUAAAUCUACGUCAAUUUCUCAAUAUGCAUUUGUAAGGUACAAGACACGCACCCCAGGUUAAUUAGAAAGAGAUGCGCGGUAACACCUAAUCAUAUGUGCACCUGAAUCUAGUUCAGGUAGUUUCGUAUGUAAUUUAAUUUUUCUAUCGUGAUUUUUUAGACCAAGAUCAUAUUUUAGAGUUGGACACGACUUGGCCCUCAUGACUCGACUGUCGCACUUUUGCAUGGAUCGCAACCUCUUUUUCUAGAAUUCCAAAUGUAGUUUCAAAACGGAUUUGUUUCCUAUAAUUAGGUGCAAUGUCAUUAUCAAGAUAGCACAAGGCUCAGCAGCUUGUUUAGGUUCCUUUUGGGAUUGCGGGUGAGUCUAGGAAGAGCUCCAUGGAAGAGAUGAGCUAGAGAACUCGGUCCCUUUUUCUUGUUCGAAAAAAGGACUCAGUCUUGGGGGAAGGGAUGAUUGAUUAAUUUUUCCAACCGGCGUAGAUUAGAUUUGUUGGAUGGUGUGGAUGGCCACUGAUUGUAUGGGGUUGUGUUUUAUUAUGUGAUAAACGGUUGGGAUUGUUAGAGAAGUUGCUCAAUAUGGUGAGGGACUCAUGGACCUUACCCAGUGCCGGUGGUGACAUGUAGAAUGUUCAGCGUUUAUGUGAGUGAUUUUUGGCAAAAAUUAGCCUAAUAGAUUUAUUGACAAAUUGUUAAAAGAUUUAGAAUUGAAUUAGUUAGAUUGAAAAGUUUAAGACUGAAUUAGUACAAGUAUAAUAAAUUUAGGACUUUUUUUUUCUUGAUAAUUAUCCUGAUUUUCAUCACAUCGGUGAGUGCAAAUAAUGUCAAGUUGGGCUAUCUGUUGACUUGUGGCUUACCUUGCUGAUAAGAUUAAUGAGGUACUAGAUGGGAUUGUUCUACUCAGGCAAAUGUCCAUUUCGUAGAAGAACACGUAGGCUUAUCUUUUUUUCUAAUGUGGAUAUCCCUUCGUAAAUGACUGGAUUCUUGCUCACGUCGGAUGAGCUUUUGUGUUUCGACUUAUUCUGAUGUAAUUGAGUGAAUUUUUAUAAAACCACUUUAUUCACAAGAAAAGAAAGAAAAGAAAAGAGAAGUUGUAUAAAGCCUGAUGUCUCAUGAGGAGAAUUGAGAAAGUUUAUUGCGGACUCUUUUAUACAGUUGUCAUUGGGGUAAAUGCCCUCUUGCUUCUGACCAUGGUCAAUGUCACGACCUCUUCAGAGCCCUCCUGCCAACGCGAAGGUUAAUGGCUGGCAUUAACUCUAGGCUUAGCUCGGGCUUUCCCAAGCUCACCAAUUCACGACUUAUGAUCCGAGCUUUUAAUUUGCAACAUUUUCAUUUAGAAAUUGUCACUAAUUGAUUUGUGGUUAGAAAUCCAAGUAAUAUAUUAAGAAAAACUUUUUAUUCAUGCGUAAUCAAAGAAAUUAGAUUUGAGGACUUGAUUAUACUAGUUAAUCAACUAAUACUCUUUCAGUACCUAAAAACAUCAAGUAAAGCAUUUUUGUAGCAUUUUAUACCAAUCAUGAGUUUUAGGAUUCAAUUCCUAACCAGAUUAAGGAAAUAACAAUCCAUGCAUCAUCAGUGCGCAAUUGGAGAAAAGGAAAUGUGCAAAUGGCAAUCUGACAUUUAUUGUCAAGGAUUUAAGCACAAUUUAUUUUUGUUUUCUUAUAAGGAUUUUCACAUAUUUUAAGGAAAAAACACUCAAAGGCUAUUUUAUAGGUUUUCUGAUUUUUCACCCCCCUUCAUCGAGCUCCAGAGGUCCUAUUUAUAGGUUGGAGGGCCCAGUGACGGGGGGUUUCGGCCGCCGGUCCUUUGCAUGCCUACUGGCCCUGGUGUGGCCGAACCGGUGUCCCAUCCUGUCUUCUCCGCGGAGGCCUGCUCGGCAUUGAAGGCGUCUACCCAAACGUGCCCUUCUGUUGGGGUUUCUCGCUGGAUCUCACACUGCUCCGUUUGGCAGCAUUGAUGGGGCCCGCGAGACUUCCCCUCUGUCCCUGGUCUACCCUCUCUCUGCCGGAGGUCGUCCUGCGUGCGUGGUGUGCAGCGCAAGGAAGGAAGGAAGGACGAAGAAGAAGGAGAGGGCCGGGCCAGUUAGUGAGCCAGGGGUGAGAUGGGCCCGUGCAGGGGUCAGGCCCAACCCCCAAAGCCAACGUUUUUUUUUUUUUUUUUAAAAAAACAAAAAAAGAGAGAGUUCACAUUGAUAGGGCUAGUAAGAACACCUAGAGAGGGUGAAUAGGUGUUAAAGCGAUCUUUACUAAAACUUAACAGUUUAAUUCAUCUUUUGAUAAAGAUAGAUUGAAGAUGUAGAAGACAAAAAACGGAUACGUAUAAAUAUAGAGUUAAAGUAAAGAGUUUAGAGAAAGAGAAUUUGGAACACAGAGUUUAUAAUGGUUCAACUUAGACCAAGCCUACGUCCACUCUCCUGCACUGACAGCCCACCAGCUGGAUUUCACUAAGAAUCAAAAGAGAUAUUACAGUCUCACGUCCUUGAUUCCACAGUGUAGAGACUCUACUACACUUCCUCAAGGUCUCACAAGUAUUUAUCUCUCUUUCGAAUACAGUAUAAGCUCAGCGAAUGAAAUAACAAAGAACUAGGAUCUUCAAAUUUUAGAAUUCUUCUAUCACGCACACCUUCGAAUAACUUGAGCGUCUUUCUUAUAUACUCCUCCAUGCCUUCAUAUCCGUUGGCACCUUCCAAAGGAGUUCUUCCAAUCAUACCGUUGGACAGAAUCAAUUAGGGAGAUCUUGAGUUUAUUAAGGAAUGUGAUGAUAGCCCACUAAUCCUGCUCGCCCAUACAAUUAGGAUCUAUGUUUCAAUAAGUAGAACCUUCCAAAUAUACUUCGUCAAUCACUAGAUCUAAUUAUCCAAAUUGAUUGUAAUGAGAAUAAUAGAUCACGAAGUGCUAUCUCCAACUGUGAGAUCUUCUUCAUUCGUACGAAUCAAAUCCUUCAGAAUAUUCUUGCAUCUGGAUAAGUCUUCUCUUCAUCGGUCUGAAAACUAUCAGUGAGGGUAGACUUUGAAUCUUGAGUCUAGAGGUCUUCAGACUUUGAUGAUAGAGUCUAUGAGUUUUCAGACUAGACUGAUGGAAAUAUUUUGUCAACUUCAAACUAAAUAAGGAAGUUUUCUCCAACAAUCUCCCAUUUUUUGAUGGUGACAAAACUUUCCUGCAGAUUUGAACAUUUUUUACCUGCAAAACAACACUUAGGCAAAACAAAAUAUCUCAUAAAGGAUUAGGAUAUGAAUAGCAUCGAUUCUGUAACCACAAAUAACAUGUUAGUCCUACAAAACAACUAUUCUUCCAUAAUCAUUAACAUAGCCUAAGUAACUGCAAGCAUCAAAAGGUCAAAUAAAAAACAGUCCACAACCAAACAAAUCCAGAAAUCCAAUGUCAAAAACAAAACAAACAAAAUAUCAAAUUUGCUGCAAAUCAAACCUUCUCCCCCUUUUUGUCAACAGCAAAAAGUGGAGAACAAAAUAAAAAGAGUUGUUUUAAGAAUGAAGAAAGUCAAGGCUGUUUGGGCAAGCGAACAAGUUGGAAUUCUUCCAUUGAAUGCACUGUCUUCUCAAGUUUUUCGAUAGCCUCCUUCAUAAAAUCUGCACCUUUCAUAGAAUCUUACACUAGUGUCUUCAGGGCAUUUAACUGAUCGUGAAGAGACACUGAGGUGGACAUGAAGGCAUUCUUGAAAACCUGCAAUUCAUAGCUCACAGCAUACUGCUCUUUCCUGACGUCUAGUAGAAUUUCUAGCAGUCGUGAAAAAUCUGCUGAAGGUGUUGUGGCAGAGCUAGGUCUAGCUGAGUCAAGUCCAGGUGUAGAUCCACCUUGUCUAACCGCAUCUCCCCCUGAAUGAGUGCCUUUUGGAGGAGGGAUAGAUUCUUCUUCUUGUUCUGCGUCAGCAGGAGUGUGAUCCUUUUCUUGAGCUUGUUCACUAGCAAUUCCACUCUUUGUCUUUCCAUUGCUUGAUAGAGAUACAACCAAAGUAGGCUCAAACGAUUCUUCCCGAGCCACUUCUUCCUCUCUUCCUUCCUCUUCUCCUCUUUCCUCUUCUCUUUCUCUUCUUCCUUCUUCUUCUUCUGCUUCUACUCCUCAUUCCUCUUCCUCUUCUGCUUCUUCUCUUCUUUCCUCUUCCUCUUCUACUGCUAAUCUUUCUUUUGCUUCCUCUUCAGCUCUUCUGUUUGCAUCUCUUUUCUCAGUCUCUUCUCUUGUCUCACGAAAACUGACAAAGUUUUUCAAGUUCCUCAAGGUAGAGAGAGUCAUCUCAUCCUCAUCUUCUUCAUCCUCCAAGAUGAGAGUUCUCUUCUUCUUUGCUGAAGCACCCACGGGCUCCUUACCUUUCCUCUUAGCCCUUGUAGGAACUGAUUUUGCCUUUGAUGGAGACUUCUCAUUCAUCCGCUCUAAAACUUUGUUCAGCUCUUUUAGUCGCAUCUUGGUGAUCAUUUUGAAACCAAUCACCAUCAAAUUAAUGCUGGUCAGACAUGAAGGAGUAGGAAUGUGAAUGUGAAAAUGCCUAAAAAGGCGUGUAAUAAGACCAGAAUAAGGGAGUUGUCCCUUAUCUUUCACAACAGUCUUGUACAUGUGAAAUAAAAUAGUGUGAGGCUGAAAGAACUUGUAGCCGAUGUUGAUGGCAUGCAUCAAUUUCGCUUCAGACUAAGACACGUCGGUCUUUGAUGUCGAUUUUGGUCUGAUGUAGUUGAUCACGAUCUUGUGCAGAAGGAUAUUAGUGGCAUUCAUCCUAGAGUAGGAUAUCUUGCCUUCAGGAAUCCUGUCUUUCACCAAGGUCAGCGUAGCAUGAGCAACAGACACACUAAUUGGUUGGAAACACCCUCUUUCCACCCCAAUUAGAUUAGCUAAGGUAUCCAUGUUCACCACAAACUCCUUAUCUUUCUCAGUAAAAGAAAAACUGUUUGCAUCCACAAAAGAUAGAUUCGAAUAGAAAUAGAUUGUUAGUUCUGGAUAGGCAGCAGUUGAUUUAGAACAAAAAUGCUCUAAUUGCGAAAGAGCAAACUUCUCACGCAGAUUAACCUUCACCGAAUCAAGGAAAUCGAAAUCAACAUUUUAGGGUUCAUGACCCCUCUCUUCAAUAAAUCCAGAUAGACCCUUUUGUGAUUCUUCGAUCUAAAAAGACUCGAACUGUCUCCUGCAACAUUUGCAGCCACACCUGAUCUAGGUUGAAAAUGUGUAAACAAUCUCUCAUCAUCAUCCUGCCCUUCAGGUUGAUUCGCCAUACCAAACUGCGGGUCGCUAGGAAAGUUAGCAAAGUCCUUUUCGGCCGACCCUUUUUCAGCAAUUCCCAUCUUUUCCAUGUCACGGAAGAACAUGGUUUCGUUUCUGUAUCCUCUCUCUCUUAAAAAAUCAUCAAUCAAUGACAUAGCAGUACCACCCUUUUUCAAGCAAGAGUAAAGCUUGAAAGCGACUUUAGGAGUAAGAGUCCUUACUGGUUCAACAUCUUCCACAAUUUCUUCUUCAAGAUGAGUCGGUGGAGGAGUUUGGCGCUGCUGAGAAUGUUGUCGCUGACUUGGUUGCUUUUGCGGUGAGGAAUCUUCUUCAUCGGUCAAGUCGAAAUGGGUAGGACCCUCAAGCAAAUGGCGUGGUCCUCUGCUUGCGAUUCUUGACGACUUUCUCGAAGACAUUGUCGACUCAAGAGAGAAUUUCACAACUUUGCUAAAAAAGAUGAGAUUUUUUUGGAAUAAACAACGGAGAAAGUGAGAGCAAGUGAGAGUAAAUUAGGGUUUGAGAGUGAAAAAUGAAGAAGAUGAAUUUCUACAGUAUAUAAAACAAGUGAAGCAAGGUAAACGAAGCGUCAUAAAAAGGAAAAAAUGGAAAUGCCUUUUUGAAAAUAAUAACCUCCCUCUUUCAAAAAUGAAUAACUGCGUUUUUGAAUAACUGCCUUUUUGAAAAUGGAUAAGAGUCAUUAAUUCAAGAACGAAACUUGGAAAAAUAAAUCCAAUCAAUUAGUGAUAAGAAAUACCUUUCCAAGAAUUUUAAAUUACUAGAAUAAAAAAUAACUUACAGUCGUAUCUCUUGACCUUCUGAGUCUGAGCACCUUCAGACUUUACCUUUGAGUCUGAGCAUCUUCAGACUUUAAUAUUCAAAGGAUGUGAUGUUCAGUCUGGUGCGAAUGGACUCGAAUAAACUUUUCUCCAGUGGCUCUGUAAAUAUAUCCGUCAGUUGAUUCUUUGAGUCGAUGAACUGGAUCAUAACUUCACCACUUUGAACAUGAUCUCUAAUAAAAUGAUGUUGAAUCUCUAUGUGCUUUACUCUAGAAUGAAGAAUUGAAUUCUUUGUGAGAUUAAUUGCACUGGUGUUGUCGCAUUUGACCUUGGUGCAUGAGUAUUCAAUUUCAAAGUCUCUUAGUUGUUGUUUUAUCCAUAAGAUUUGAGAACAAUAACUUCCAAGGGCCACAUAUUCUGCUUUUGCUGUUGAAAGAGCCACAAUGCUUUGCUUCCUUGAGAACUAAGAUACUGUUCUAUUUCCCAGCAAUUGACAAGUACCUGAUGUACUCAUUCUUUCAACCCUGCAACCUGCUAGAUCUGCAUCUGAAUAUCCAAGAAGAGUAAAGUCUCAUUCUUUGGGAUACCACAGACCUAACUUCGAGGUAGUUGCAACGUAUUUGAUGAUGCGUUUCGCAGCACUUAGAUGAUAUUCUUUGGGUUUGGAUUGAAAUUUAGCACAAAUGCAAAUACUAAACAAAAUGUUAGGUCUUGAAGCAGUAAGAUAAAGAAGUGAACCAAUAAUACUCCUGUAGAGCUUCUGGUCAACUUUAUUUCCUCCUUCAUCUUUGUCCAGCUUCGAAGAGCUUGACAUUGGUAUCUCAGUCUUUUUGCAAUUCUGCAAACCGAACUUUUCGAUGAGUUCUUUUGUAUAUUUUUCUUGGUGAAUGAAAAUUCCUUCCUUCAUUUGUUUUACUUGUAAUCCAAUAAAGAAGGAGAAUUUACCUAUCAUGCUCAUCUCAAAUUCGUCCUGCAUAGUCUUAGAAAAUUUCUUGCACAGGCUUUCGUUAGGUGAUCCAAAUACAAUAUCAUCAACAUAGAUUUGAACAAGUAGAAAGUUUUUACCUUCCCUUUUAAUAAAAAAGGUAGUAUCCACUUUCCCUUUGUUAAAACCAUUUUGAAUUAGAAACUUACUUAACCUGUCAUAUCAUGCUCAAGGUGCUUGCUUUAAUCCAUAUAGGGCCUUUUUCAGUCUGAAUAUUGAGUCUGGUUUCUUUGGAUCUUCAAAUCCAGGAGGUUGUUCCACAUUACUUCUUCUUGGAUAAAUCCAUUUAAGAAUGCACUCUUAACGUCCAUUUGGAAUAAUCUGAAAUUUUUAUAACAGGCAAAAGCAAGUAAUAAUCUAAUUGCUUCUAACUUGACUAUUGGUGCGUAAGUUUCAUCAUAGUCUAUCCCUUCUUCUUGUGUAUAUCCUUUGGCCACGAGUCUUGCUUUGUUCCUUACCACUUUUCCUUUUUCGUUCAUCUUGUUCUUGAAAACCCAUUUAGCUCCAAUAAUGGAUUUACCUUUUGGUUUAGAAGUUAAUUCCCAAACUUCGUUGAUGCUGAACUGUCUGAGUUCUUCUUGCAUUGCUUCAAUCCAGCUUUCAUCAGUUAAAGCUUCUUCUAAAUUUCUGGGUUCUAUUUUAAAAAUAAGUGCUACGGCGCUAGAUUUUUCUUGCUUUUUGGAUUUGGUGCGAAUCCCUUCAUGAACAUCACCAAUGAUAAAUUCUUUGGGAUGACUAGACUUGUGCUUCCAGUUGCUGGUUGGUCUAACAACAUGCUAGUCCUUUUCUUUAGUUGAUUCUUCAACUUCUAUUUGUCGAUGAUCUUCAGAAGUCUGACCCACUUUAGGAGAAGUAGCCUUUGUAAGAUGUAAAGAAGAUUAAGAUUCUUCAGGUUGAGUCUGAAUUAGUUUACUUUGCAGAGUGUUUUGAAAUUUGACAUUCAUAGAUUCUUCCAUGGUCUGAGUCUUCUUAUUGUAUACUCUGUAAGCUUUGCUUGAGGUUGAGUAGCCAAGGAAAAUUCCUUCGUCUGAUUUUUCUUCAACAUUACCAGUUCGAUCAUUUGCAUUUUUCAAAACAAAACAUUUGCAACCAAACACAUGAAAGUAAGAAACAAUUGACUUUUUUCCUUUGAGUAACUCAUAGGGAGUUUUCUCCAGAAUCGACCUUAAGAAUACUCUGUUAAUAAUAUAGUAGGCUGUAGAAACGGCUUCAGCCAAAAAAGAGAAGAAAUAUUACUUUUUAUUAAAAGAGUUUUUGCCAUCUCUUGUAGAGAUUUAUUCUUCCUUUCCACAACUCCAUUCUACUCUUGAGUAUAUGGAGAAGAGAAAACAUGCUGAAAACCUGAAUCAUCACAAAAUUUUGUAAAGUCUUGAUUUUCAAAUUCACCUCUAUGGUAUGUCCGUAUGCUUGAAAUAACAUAUCAUUUCUCAUUCUGAACUUUUUUUGGCAAACUUUGAAAAAUGAGAGAACGUUUCAGACUUACUUGCCAGAAAGUAGACCCAAGUAAAUCAUGAAUAAUCAUCCACAAUUACAAAACAAUAUCCUUUUCCACCAAUGCUUUGAGUUCUGGUUGGUUCAAAGAGAUCCAUAUGUAGAAGCUGCAAAACAUGAUUAGUAGAAACUUGAUUUACUGGUUUAAAAGAACUUCUAACAUGUUUUCCCAAUACACAUGGUGUGCAUAAAUCAGAAUUUUGAUAUUUCAGGUUAGGUAGUCCACGAACAAGAUUUUUGGAAGAGAUCUUGGCAAUUUGCUUCAUGUUGACAUGGCUAAGCUUUCGAUGCCAAAGAUUUGCUUCAUCUUGGAUUGAAAUCAGACAUUGCAAACUUUCUGGUUUUAUAUCCAGAAGAUAGAUGUUUUUAUGUCUUCGUCCAGUAAAAGAUUGAGAAAAAUCUUUACUAGUUCCCGAAUAUACUCCUUGAAAAUUGAUUUUGAAUCCAGUGUCACAUGGUUGACUAAUGCUGAGUAGAUUGUAAUUUAAACCUUCCACCAAGGAGACAUAAUUGAUUGUGAGACUUCCAAUCUUUGCAAUUCCACAUCCAAUAAUUCUUCAUUUGCUAUUUCCACCAAAAGAGACUUUUCCACCAUUCUUUUGAACAAAAUUUAUAAAACAACCUAAAUCUCCAGUCAUAUGUCUUAAACAACCACUAUUCAAAUACCAUUUAAUCUUUUUCUUGAUGGUGACCUGCAAUUAGAAAAGAAACUUAAGCUUUCUUUGGUACCCAUAUUUUCUUGGGUCCAGAAGAGUUAGUGCAAUAUGCAGUCUUUGCCCAUUCUUUCUUAACAGGUCUCCAAACCAUAUGACAUUCUUUCUCAAAAUGUUCUGAGUUGUUGCAAUUUGAACAUUUGAGAGCACUUCGGCCAACAGGUUUUAUAAAAACUUUUUGAAAAUAAUUCUCGUAAAAGGUCUUUGUUGGUCUUUGUUUGAUUCGUUCCUUUACUUUUGGAAAAUCAAUUAGAGGAACAAUUUCUGAAGUCAUUCCCAAGCUUGACUUGUUGAAAUAAGGUCUUUGUACUGAAAGAAUUUUUUCCAACUUUUCAGAUCCUAUUGAAAAUCUUUUUGAAAUACUUGAAAUGUCAAUUUUUAAAAGAUUAUUUUCUUUUGAAAGAGAGUCUGCAUUUUCUUUUAAAAUAAUAAAGCUUUUGUCUAAAUUAUCAAAUUUUUCCUUCCAAGAAUUUUCCUAUUGCUUCAGUGCAGAAUUCUCCCUUUUUAGUUCGGAAAUUCUCUUAAGAGAGGUUUUGAGACUAAGACAAAGCUCAUCGAUGUAUUUCGAUACUUUAAUAGGAAUCUUUAGACUGCUUAUCUCGAUUUCACUAUUUGAAUCUGAGUCUGUAUCUAUCUCAGAGUCUGAGUCUGAAUCUGAUUUUGCCAUUAAGCAGAUGUUGGCAUAAUUUUCAUCGCUUUCUUCGCAUUCAGUAUCACUCCAUGUCUCUGCUUUAAGAGCCUUCCUGUAUUUUUCAGCUUUUCCUUUCUUUUUCUUCAACAUAGGACAGUUGGGUCUAAUGUGUCCAUUUUUCUUGCAUUCAAAACAGAUCACAUCUUUGUUGGUUUCAUCAACCUCAGUAGAUUUGUUUUGAAACUUUUGAGUGUUCUAUUUCUUCCAAUUGAACUUUCUUCCCUUUUUAUUCAGUUUCUUGUACCUCUUUAUCAUAAGGGCUAACUCUUCAUCAUCCAUAUCAUCUUCAGAAUCUGUAACAUCAUAAUCAUCAUUAAAUUUCAAAGCAAUUGACUUCUUACCUUUAGGAUCUUCCUCCUCAUUGAUUUUCUCCACUUCAUAGGACUGAAGUGUGCCAACUAGUUCAUCUACAGAAAGCGGCAUAAUCCUUUAUGUUUCCCUUAUUGAAGCCUUUAUGUGAUUCCAGUCUUUGGAGAGUUCACGCAACAAUUUGUUGACCUUCAUUGGUUCUGAGAUUGGCUGUCCCUGAUAUUCGAGACCAUUUACUAUCUCAAUAAAACAACUAAACAUAUCAGUGAUAGGUUCUCCUGAUUUCAUCUUGAAGGUUUCAUAAUGUCCGAGUAGAAUAUUAAUCCUCGUCUCAUUCACUCAAUCAGUUUCUUCAUAAGUAAUGUGCAGCCUAUCCCAGACUUCUUUAACUGUUUCACAAGAAAAUAUUCUGUUAUACUCAGUAGGAGAUGAAGCACAAUAUAAAGAAUAAAUUGCUUUAGCAUCAAGAGCUUGUCUCUUGGUUAUUUCUUCUUGAGUCAUCUCGCUAGCAACUGCAGCUUCUUUUCCUAUUUCUGAAACUGAUGCAGCUUUAGGAAUGAUUCCUUUGUCUACCACAUCCCAUUCCAGAGGAUCUUUCGAUCUUAGGAAAGCUUUCAUCUUGUUUUUUCAUAUGUUGUAAUCAUUUCCAUUGGAGUAAGGUGGUCUUGUGUUGCUUUAACCUUCAACCAAACCUGGAGCCAACAUACUAGCCAUAGAUCUUUAACUCAAAAGUAAAAACACUUCAAUUAAAUGAGUACACGACCUCUGAUACCAAUUGAUNNNNNNNNNNNNNNNNNNNNNNNNNNNNNNNNNNNNNNNNNNNNNNNNNNNNNNNNNNNNNNNNNNNNNNNNNNNNNNNNNNNNNNNNNNNNNNNNNNNNUUCUCCAACACACAUUUCUAGCGUCGAUAUCAUUGGAGUAUAAGGUUUUUAUUGAAUUUUGCUUAAUUGUCCUCCCCGAACUUAGGUUAUCUUAGUUCCCAUUUACAUCGUGGCCAAAAGAGAGAGUUCACGUUACUAUAGAAUUUCAUGAUUGGAGUAUACAUUUUGACCAACUUCAAUUAAUGGUAUUCCCCUGUUAGCAAAAUGCUUGUACAUUGGUAGUGAAACUACAUGAAUCCAGCUGCAGGAAAAUGUAAAUGACAAGGAGUUGAUACACCUCAAAUUAAGUUGUAUAGAAGAUAAAUUACGAGGAAAUGAAGCUACGCAAAAGGACGAUACAUGGAUGAGGUUGCUAUGAUCAUUCCUGUUAUGCUUUCUACCAAUUCGGAUGAUUAAAAAAAAAGGUGACAGUAUAAACUUCUUAAAAAGUUGCCGUAGUCAUUCUUGCCAUGCUAUCUACCAAUUCAGAUGAUGUUGUAUUUGUUCAAACUUACUCCAUUAGAACUGAUUUGGCACAUAUGCAGAGGGAACAACUAGGGGCAAUAUUAGAUGAGGAACCGGCUCUCAUGUAGAAUAGAACAUCCAUUGCAAAAGGCUAGAAUUUUAUCGAGUCAGCUAGGGAUGAGACUGAUGCGGUGGCGGGGAAGUGAGGGAAGCAUCACAUUGCAUUAUAUCAGCCAGUUUUCCACAAUCUUUUUUCUCACUUGAAUUACCAGUAGUUGACGCGUGAAUCGGCAACAAGACUUCAUUAUGUAUCACAUCUUUGAUGAAGUUUUUUCAAAUUGUUGGUGUUGAAAAUUUGCACCAUGCCCCGAAGAGAGAAAUGUUAUGUUUUCAUUUUAUAUGAUUGGGAUCAUAUGACAGAAACUUUUUGACAAAGAGACGAUAGCCUUAGAAUUGGGACAUCAUAUCUGUAAUAGUUGUAGCAUUGCAGAAGGGUGUAACAAAUGGCUUUGUCAUCAUGUUUGAGUUUUUUGCUAGCUUUUAUAUAAUACAAAGAGUUCAUUACAUACAUAAGUUACCGGUACAAUGUAUAUGAUCACAAAGAGAGGAACUUCUAAAUUUAUGACAUAGAUGUACGUCUUCUGAAUCUGACAAGUUUCUUCAACUCUCACGAACGAUGCUUCAUGUUGGGGGUUGUGCCUGAGGCCCAUAUUUGAUAAUUACCUCUCCUACAACAUGUCAUAAAUGAUCAGGAAUUUACCUAUGGGCUACAAGAAGUGUGACAUCCAGAUUUUCGGGUUCUAAUUUCGACUGGAUAAAUAGGGCCGUUUUCGUUCAAUUGAAGCCAGGGAUUGUGAAAUUGGGAUGCAAGUAGGCUACAUUGGUAAGGAAAAAUACCAAUUGGAACGAUGAAAUAUUGAAUGAAAUUAUGGGGGUCAAAUUGAUUUGAUUCAAGUGGGAUUAAGGUUCAAUUUGGGAAGAAAACCUAGCAAAAUUCGUAUGCCCAUAAACCCAACUCUUUGAACUACCAAAAUGCUUCUAGAAGGGGGCAUAUUUGUCAAAAAUUGAAGAGUGGGAGACAGCUGGUGGUGGCCCACGUGUGGCUGACCUAAGAGAGAGAGAGAGUGAGAGAAAAGAAAGAAAAAUUGGUUUUUCUUCCUCCCCUCUCUCUUCCGUCGAGCAUCUCCAUCUUCUUCCUCUUUUCUUUGGCUUUCUUCUUCAGCAGCAACGGAAGACCAGCAGGCCGAAGCAGCGAUUCCUCUUGGCGUUGUCACAGCAAGCAACCGGAGCCAGGGUCGCCGCCGUCCGCCGUCCCGCUGCCUCGCGCCGCUGCUCCGCCUCCGCCCCUCUCCCUCCUCUGGUUCGAGCAGAAACGGAAGCAGAAACAGAAGCAGCAACCAUCGUCGGUUGAAGGAGCUGCAGUCACGCCGGAGCUGUCGGACCGCCACCUGCUCGACCGCACGCCGCCGCUCCGCCGUUCGCCUCGCCUUGUCGAGCUACCAGCUCUGUCCAGCCUCUGUUUCGUUUCUGGUCGGUCUCGUUCGGCCACCUACGGCCGCCGCCCGACCACCUCCAGCCACCGUCGACCUCGCCGGAGCUCCGCCUCGUCCUCAGCCGCCCUUGGCCGCCUCAACCAGCCCCGAAUCUGCCCCGACCAGCAGCGAUCAGAGGGUUGCAGAAAAUGGGUAUGACGGUGGGUUUUGGCCCGUUUUGGCCGCCUUCCCGAGCUCGGAUGCUCGGCCCGCUUUGGGGAAAGUCGAUCCUCGCGUCGAGCCCGUCGUUUUGAGUGAGUUUUACUCACUAAUGCCUUCUUAGUGCGCUAAUUAUACUUAAAGGUUGAUUAGUGUUAAUUAAGUGUAAUUAGGUUAUUAUAUUAGAAUUGAUUAGUGAUUAUUAGUUAAUUGCUUUGUAUAUUAGUGAUGUAAUUAGUGUAAUUAGAUAGAGAAUUGCAUGUAGUAUUCAUUGGAUGCUUCUUGGGAUUUUUCCCGUCCCUUAUCGGGUGUUAAUUAGGCUUUUCGGGCCUAAGUGGAAUUUUUGGUAUUUAAUUAUUAUUUUUCGGAAUUAAAUUAAAUAAUUAUUUAUUUUCCGAAAAUUCAACUGAGAUGGCCUGGAACCGGAAUAUUAUGCUGAUGACCGUGGUGAAGUCCGUUUAUUUAAUCGGGCUUUAUUUUGAGCUAAAUUGAAUUUUAAUGUUAAUUGUUUAAUUUUCGAAAUUAAUUAUUUAAUUAUUUAUUUUUCGGAAAUUAAGGCUGAGAUGGCCUAGAACCGGAAUAUUAUGCUGAUGACCGUGGUGAAGUUCGUUUAUUUAAUUGGGCUUUAUUUUGUGCUAAAUUGAAUUUUUAAUAUUUAUUAAUUAAUUAUUUUUCGGAAAUUAAGAUUGAGAUGGCCGACGACCGAAAUCUCGUGUUGAUCGUCGUGGCGUAGUUCGUUUAUUUAUUUGAGCUCUACGUUGCAUGGAAUUAAAUAAAUUGUGAUGUUUUAGGGAUUUACCCUAAUUUGAUUUGGAAUUUAUUGAGAUUAAAUGAUUGAUUGGUAGAUGGCCGGUCGUUAGAAUUUCGCGCUGAUCGCAGCAGUGCGGUCGGUUUGUGUUAAUUGUAUGUUUAAAUUGAGAAAUUGAGAAAUUGAGUGAUUGAUGAUUAUGGUUAAUAAUUCCAAAAGUGUGGAAUUGUGUGAAAUUGAUGAAGUUGUGGUAUUUAACUUGAAAAUACCCGGUGUUGGCUUUUAGCACCGUAAUUGGUUUGUAUGACCAGUUUGAAUCGAUUGGAUUGAUUGAGUGAUUGAAUUGAGGUAUGAGUUGGGUUAUUAUUGAAUUAUCAACUUUGGCGAGCAAUUGGUUUAUAUAUGUAUCAGCUUGUGUGAGCAUCAUUGUUAACCUGUGUGAGCAUCAUUGUCAGCUUGUGUGAGCACUGUAUGACAGCUUGUGAGAGCAAUGAUCAUUUAUCAGCUUGUGAGAGCAACGAUCCAUAUAUUAGCUUGUGCGAGCUAUCAUCUAUGUAUAUAUCAGCUUGUGCGAGCUACCAUCUAUAUCAGCUUGUGAGAGCAUUGCAUCCAUUUCAGCUUGUGCGAGCCGUAAUUGUAUUGAUGGAUGAAUAGAUGGUAUGGUUUAAUAGAUGAUAUGAAUUGAUAGAUGUGUGGAUCGUAUGAUAUCAAUUGAUUGACUGAAUGGAAAUGACCGUGAGUGGUCUUGUUGGCAUAUAAUCGACUAAGUCGAUUAGAUUGAUGCUUCGAUCUAUAAUAUGAUCGCUUGGGUGCCUAUAUGAUCUGUGCUAAUAUGCAGGUGGAAUCUGAGGCCAAGGUAAGUCCUCUGACUCAUGUUGUGCAUAGGCAGCCCUAAGGUGUAUUAGUUUACUAAUCGGGUCUUAGGGGGUAGAACUUGCUAAGACGUUGUCUCAGUGGUUAUUGAAUAACCAUUUCAGGACCUGGAUGAGGAGCCUAAGGAGCAUGAAUCUGAUGAGGAGAUCCCUGUUGAGGAACCUGAAGAGGAGUACAUGGAGGAGGACCUCGAGUACGACCCGGAUGAGGACUGAGAUCCCGUCCUGUAUUGUCAGACCUUGUUUGCAUGUGAAUAGACGUUAGACCAGAGUUGCGUAUAUAUAGUAUUGUAGAAUACUAUGAGAUGCAUGUAAAAAGAUGUAGUUGUGAAUUUUCAGUAAAGGAAAUAUAUGGCCUGCUUUUCUAUCCCAUUGCUUUAUUGUCUGGGGAUUUAUAACUGUUUCCGCAUGUGCAUAUAUAAAUGAAAGGGUCGGCGAUACAUAGUCCUGGGAUAUCGCAUUUUGAAAUCGACCAAAAGUAAGGGAUGUGUGCGUGCCUGAGGAUCGGGUCGUGACAAGAAGAUCAAAGAAGCUACUUAGAUUUCAUACUAAGGGUUAGCAAAAAAUCAUGUAUUGAAUAACUGAGAGCAUGUGUUAGUGUGCUUACUAAGUAGAGAGAGAGAGAGAUUCCUACGUAGGUCGUACAAGUAAGUACCUGAAAAGCUCUUUUGAACCGAAGCGUGGUAAUUAUCUCUGAUAUCAUUAACAUUUCGAUGAUCUUAUCUAUUGCUUGAAAGUAAUAUAUCCUCCAAGACUGCUUGAAAUGCAAUGCACUACAAAAUCCCAAGAAUCCAAUUGUGAAUCCCGGUCCCAAGCCCACAUAGAACCAAUUAUGGGCGUCCAUAUUGCCUUCAUUAGGUUCACCUCCAUUUCGAGAAUCACCAUCUUGUCCAUAGAUAUCAGGAUGUUGCUCAUCUCUAGGGAAAACUUUCAAAAGAGGAGCUCCACAAAGUCCAUCGUUACCGCGAUACACAGAUUCAUCAUCCACGGUACGCAGAUGAAUGCUUGAAGGAAUAGGGCCUGAUAAAUUAUUGAAUGAGAGUUUGAGAUGACCCAGAAAGUCCAUGUUGGAUAUGCUAGGAGGGAUUCUACCCGAAAUCUUGUUGUUGGAUAGGUCAAGGGAUUCUAAUUUUUUGAGGUCGCCAACGUUUGUAGGGAUUUUCCCACUCAAAUUGUUUUGAGAGAGGUUCAAAUUCUGAAGUUGGACGAGCCUAGUCAACUUUUUUGGUAUUUCACCAUUUAAAUUGUUUGCAGAUAAGUCAAUGGAAUGGAAGAAUUGGAGUGUCUUGUCAUAUAUUCGGCUAGUUCCCUUUGCAUGAACCAUAACUAAAUGAGUGUAGUUUCUGCCCAAGGGUUCUGAAGGGGCCGAUCUUCAACCAUAGACAACAAUUGAUUAAAACACAGCGGAACGCUUCCGGAAAUGUUGUUCCGUGCUAGGCUUAAAAAAUGGAGAUGCUGAAGUUGGCAGAGUUGCGUGGGAAUGCCUCCGGUGAACUAUUCUUCUCAAGAUCGAUGAUGGCUAAUGGCUGAAAAUGUCGUCCAAAUGGAGGAAUUUCACCAGUGAAGUCAUUAUCACUUAGAUCAAGGAAGAGAAGUUCAGUUAGGUUUGACAAACAUUUGGGAAGCACUUUGUCGAAUCCAUUUUUAUGCAGGUUCAGAACUUGUAAUCCCUCAAAAUGGCAGAAAGAGUUAGUAAUCUGACCUCGUAAUCUGUUGUCACUCAGCGAAAUCACUUCCAAUGCUUUCAACUUUUUCAGACAUAAGGGUGGUCUCCCGGAUAGUUGGUUCUUUGACGGAUCAAGAUAAAUUAGGUUCUCGGGGGGCACAUAGUGAAUUUGGUAUGCUGCCGCUGAGAUUGUUACUAGAAAGAAUCAUUAACCAUAACCGUGGCAUCUUGUUCUGUCCAUUUUGGAAAUGGGGCUUAGAAAGGGUAGUCUCCCGGAUAGUUGGUUCUUUGACAGAUCAAGAUAAUAUAGGUUCUCCAUCGCCCAUAGAAAAUUCGGUAUGUUGCCGCUGAGAUUGUUACCAGAAAGAAGAAGUUUUUCUAACAGUGGCAUCUUGUUUCCGUCCAUUCUGGAAAUGGGGCCUUUGAGCAUAUUGUUUCUGAGAUCAAGCUCUUUAACGUUGAGUAAAAUGUCGGGAAGCCAAUUGAGAACUUCAUCUGAGAUGUUUGCAUUGUACAUGCGCAAGACUGAAAUAUUCCUCUGUGUUCGAAGCCACAAUGGAAAUUUCGGUCCCACAUCGAAAUCUGACAUACCAAUAUACUGAAGUUGGAAUGGAGGAACCCAGGCGGGAUCAAAACUUAAAACAAGUUCAUUAGACGAAAUGGACAAAUAGGUCAGGCUCGUGAGAUUAGCAAAGUGCGAUUCACCAACAACUCCGUCCAAUGAAUUAUUUGUUAUGUAAAAAAUCUCUAGUCUAGAUAGUCGCCCGAUACUUUCCGGGAUGUUCCCACUCAAUUUUUUGUAGCUGAGUCUUAACUCUCUUAGAGAUGAUAGCUCCCCCAAAGUUACCGGAAUAGGUCCCGAUAUUGAGUUUCCUGACAAACUUAGGUACUCGAGAUCUUUGAAACUCCCAAAUUGGUCUGGUAUAUGGCCACUGAAAUUAUUGGCACUGAAAUCACAUAUCCUCAAGUCACUUUGUGCCGACUCUAAAGGACCAUGGAUGAUGCUCCCAACAUCUCCAUCAAAGUUAUUAUACGCCAACCUUAAUACACGCAACUUGUAGAGACUGCUGAAGUUUUUCAGAAUUUGACCGUCUAGCAAAUUAUCAGACACAUCAAGAAAGGAAAGUUGUUGAUUAUUAUCAAAGAGUGUCCUAGGAAAUGUGCCUUUUAAUAAAUUCUGGCUCAAAUCGAUAUGUUCGAGCUUGCUACAGUUGUAGAACCAGGGAGGAAUAGUAGAAUUUAUGGAAUUGCCUGAAAGAUCCAGGAAUCUUAAAGAAGUGAAGUUGACGGAUAAAGAGUGAGGAAGUUUUUCGAGAGAAUAAUACUUCAACUGCAAAGAUUGCAGUGAAGAAAGCAUAUUAAUGGAACUAAACCAAUCUUUGGCUUUCCUAAGGUCAAUGACAGCGAGAUGAAAGUAUUUCAAGGAAGAUAAUUUCGACACCCACUGAAGGUUAUCACUUGUUAAAUAACCCUCGCUAAACUUACAGGCAAGAUCCAGAUAUUGCAAGUUGGAUAGGUUACCGAGGUGAUGAGGUAUGUUUCCAUCAAAACCUGCGGAUGAUAGAUUAAGAUACUCUAGUCUCUGGAGAGUACCAAAGAAUUGGGGGAUUUUUUGCUUGGAAAAAUUGUUGAGGCUAAGGUCUAGAUACUUCAAAUGCUUCAGUUCAGCCAAAGAUGCAUGGAUUUUACCUGCCAAGCUGCUCUGAUCCGAACCUAUGAUAUCUCCAUAGGGGUUGGUCUUAAAGCAUGGAUUUCGAAGAUCGAGUUAGAAAACAUGGCCAGUCUUUUUGCUGCAUUCAACUCCUUUCCACUCACAACAAUCCUUGCUAGUCCACGAUGACAAGCAUUUAGAAUGGUCGAUGAGACCUUGCCUGAAUUUCAAGAGAGCUUCUCUCUGUGUACCAAAGCAGCUCACAUUGGUGAAAACUUCGGAAUGGCCAAACUCAAAUGAUUGAAACAUGAGAAGAGUCCACAAUAUGAGGGGUGCAAAGGCAGGGGCUGAUGCCAUUGCUUUCGAUAAUAUGGGAUUAGGAAAUGCAGUGUACUUCCUCCGUUUUAUGGUGACAUGGGUCUUGGAAGGUCUAAUGAACUCAUCAAGAAAAGGACAUUACUCGUUCCUACUUAUUUGAUUUGGCCAUCACUCUCGAUCAACGUUGUCACACCCCGAAUCCUAAUAGAAAAAUGAAAUGACAUGGUUGUCAUUUGAAUUCUAUGCAACAAACAUAUUUAUUAAUAACUCAAAAUAUAUCAAAUCUUCAUCACUUUAAGAUGUGAUUUACAAAUUCAUAGAAUAGAUAGCACAACUUAUCUCAAAAUGCCUACAACCAAACAACAAACAUUACUUGAAUUGUCAAAUUCGCGAUUCUAUCGAAUAAUUGAGAAACAACAUUAAAAUCAAGUAAAACGUUACCUCAACUACAAAAUGGUUAAACUACGCCUAAAUGCUAACAAAAAAAUUUAUACGUACUAACAAAUCACAUAUUCAAAACGAUUAUUCAGGCCAUUCGCAAUGCGAAACUUGAACACGAAAUCCUAAAAUUUCAGUCCAACUAAACCGUUAAUUCAAAUCAACUUUCACGAAAUCUCAUGGUUCUACAACGACAUAAUUUAUAUUUUCCAUGAAAUCCUGGAGCUCCACAGCUCAAGAAUCGAACUUUGCAGCUCAAUUUUCACUAAAUUUUAACUUUGAGCCAUAAUUUUGAAAACUACUAUGAUUAGACAAACGAAGGGCACAAGCACUUAGCGGACGUUGCGAUAUGAAGUCAAAUUAGCUUGGCAAAGCACCUAUAGCGUGAAUGCACAAAACCCUCUCUCCCUCUCUCUCUUUUCCUUUUCUUCUUCUUUCCCUUUUUCACUAUCCUUUUCUCUCCGUUUGUGUGGUCUCCGCCCGUCGGCCCGUCUUUAAAAGCUGAAGGUGUCCACUAUUCCUUGUUUUUGUUGACUCAGUCAACUUCGUCAUUUUUUUUUUUUUUUUUUUUUUGCUUUGAUCGAGUCAAAGUCCAUAUUUACAAAUGCGAUGAAAGACCGCCAUGUUCUGGAGAUGCCUUCCGAGCCAGGACCAACCAAUCACCAGACUGCAGCCAAAAGCCUAAGUACCAUCUUCUGCAGGGUAUUGGACAGGAGUAUUAGAGUCAAUGGUCAAUAGUUUGAUUGAUAAUAACGUGUCAAUGGACAUGUCGAAUCCACUCCUUUCGAGCUCUUAAUUGUAUUAUCGAUUUCAUCAGGUAGGCACAGUCCGUGCUAAGAGGUCGAUUAAGUAUAAGACCUUUGUAUUGAAUUGUCAACUUAUAAAUCUUUUCAUAGCAUUGUUCGAUGUGUGAUUCUUUCCGUUCGUUCGGUCUUUAGUCGAGGGAAUUUUAGUGGACUUGCCGUCACCGCUCUCCCCGCAAGACAUAUACAUAACAUUUAGGAUAGAUUUCUCUGUUUAUUUAUCGCAACUUCUUACCCAGCCUCAAACCUUCUACAACCACAAAUGAAUCCUUGCUCCCAUCUGUCGAUUUGAUAGAGUGCAUAUGAGUCAAGUCUUCAAAAGAGUUAUCAAUCGAGACAUCAGGGAGUUAAAGGCGAAUGGACGUCGACUUUCGAUGCAUAAAGGUCAUGCACACUUUGGCGGACCUAGGAGGCUCAUGGCAGCCUCCGCCCCUCAUAGGACGAAAUAUUUUUUUAUAUAUGUUAUUUAAAUGAGAAAAUUGCAUCUUGCCUCAUUCUCUUAAAUUCUCAAUUCGCCAUUGCACGCACAAAAUAGGGGUGAUCAGUUUUCGAGUGAACCAAUUCUCAUCAUAAAAUAAAGAAUCGCCCACGAAAAACCAAUUCCACAAACUAGGAAUCAGGAACAAUACACUAGUUCCUGAACCCACCUGGGAAGGACUACUAAUCUGAUUCAAAUUCCGAGCAAGUCCAUCGAACCAGCUUUGUGAUCACCACCACAACCUAGAACCUGGCUAAUAACUUUCAAGAAUCUCACCAACUAAGAUUUUCAAGACAGCAACAAGGGAACAAGGCACACGAGCAAUAUCAUCACUUCUUCAUCUGAUUCGUGUAGAAUAGAUUGCUCAUCACCGAUUCGUGUUAUGAGCGGUGAGCAAAGCGGCAAGCCAGAGAGAGAGAGUGGCGAGCAAGGUGGCAAGCAACAGAGAGAGAGAGAGAGAGAGAGAGAGAGAGAGAGAGAGAGAGCUACAAGGCUAUGAGAGACAAGCCACCUUUUCAUCUAAUUCGUGUAGAAUAGAUUGCUCAUCCCGCCAAUUCGUGUCGUGAGCGGUGACCAAGGCUGUGAGCCCGAGGGAGCGAGGGAGUGAGGGAGGGAGGGAGCUACGAGCUAUGAGAGACAGGCCAAAGGAACUUGCAAAGAUUUUAAACAUAAAAUUAAUUUAUAUACAUAUAUAAGUCCGGAUGAGUGGGUUUAUACCCGGAACUGAAAAUUGGAUCAAUAUUUACAAGUCCCAAUUUAUUUCAGAUCUUGAUUCGGUUCUUUUGCAUACCGCUAGCACAAAAUAUGGGUGAACUACACUUUUGCAAUAUGGGUUUAUAUGAUUCUGUGAUUGCACUCUCUGUCUUGUGCCCAACUUGUCCUUUUAUGCAUGCUCGCACAAAAAGGAUAAUGCAUGAAAGGAUAAGUUAGUCGACGGCCACCACAAGCUCACUCCCCCGAUCCAUCGUUGUCGGUCAUGCUCGCAUUCCAAUUCACUACCUCAAUGCAUUGGAACUUUCCUCCAUGGCUUGAGUACGAAGUUUUGAGACAUUUUGGCAUGGUUUCUUGGCCUGUUUGGCAGCUCAUUCAGAUAAUUUUGUAUGUGUCGGGCCAAUAGAAUGAGUGACAAAACAUAUCGUGCGCAUCAGGCAAGAUUGGUGGAAUAAACAAAGAUUUCAAGAAAAAUAUAAGGAAAAUUAUCUAAAAAGUCCCAAACAUAUUGCAUUUUUGUCAAUUUAGUUCUAAACUUUUCAAUUCUGCCAAUCAGGUUGUAAAUAUUUUCACUUCAGGACAAUUAAAUUUUAAACAUUUUAACUUCUUACAAAUUGAGUCCAUUUGGCCAAUUUGGCCAGAAAUUACUGACGUGAAUAGUUUGGCGCUGACGUGGCAAUUUUAAAAUAAAUAUUGAUUUUUUUAUUUUUUUAGUCGGCCGGUGAGGGUUGGCCGGCAAUCCUUGGUAGCCCUAGAUCCAACUCCACCCCCCCCCCCCCCCCAAAGCUAAAAAGUAAAAAAACAUAAAAAAAAAAUCAAAAUAUAUUAAAAUAUUAUGAAAACAGUAUCGGUAAUUUUCCAUCAAAGUUGGGCCGGAUAGACUCAACUAGUAAGAAGUGAAAAGAUUUAUAACUAAAUUGGUAAAAUUGAAAUGUUUAUGAUUGAAUUAGUUAUUUGGUUAAUUUUCCCGGAAAAUACAAAACAGGAACAACCUUUGAUUGAAACAUGGUAGAGUUUCUACGUUUGGAGUCCUGUAGAUGACUUUUUCCUAACGUGCGACUGCGUGAUGUAUCACCGAUACAAAAGUGACAUAUGUAUUGUGCAUAGGACAGAAUUCGACGGAAGAAAACCAAAAUAAUUCACACCAUAUGCAAAAAAUUAGUGAAAAAAGCCAAAAUGGAAAACUGUACGAGGCGUAUAAACAACAAUAAUCGAGGGGGUUGAUUUAUGACUUCCUGAUUGGCUAGCAUCUCGGUAAGGGAGAAGUGACGUGCUCUCUAAAACUCGGGCCUUCGAGUCCUGGAUAUAUGAAGCAGAUGUAUCUUGCCUCGAUUCGCAACCGUAGGGGAUUAUGGGCGACUGUAGUAACGCAAGAGAGAGCCGCUAGAGUUGGCCGGCCAUCCCCAGCCUUUUACUUAUUAGAAAAAAAAAAGAAAAAAAAUUGUGCCCUAAUAAUGGGAAGUUUCAACUUCUCUCCAGAAUUUGAUUUUAAAUUAACAUCAUGCUACUGAAAUUCACUAGGAAACAAAAAGACCAUGUACUGAAAAAGAAUUACAAAAGUGAGCGGACCUUGAGAAGACGACAUUAACCUCCACAAAAAGUUACGAGUUAACAUAAAAAAAAUCAUAUUAGUAUAUUUAUAAUAAAUUUACGUCAAACUAAUUUUUCAUCACAAAAUAUACCAAAUUGGUAUACUUAUGAUAAAUUUAUCCAAGAUUAACUUUUUUACCACUAAAAACCUCAAUCUCGUAUAUUUGUUAGAAAGUUGCCAUUCAUUGAUUUCCAUUAAAUUUGAUUAUUAUCAUAAAAAAUCACAAAUUAAUACACAUGUAAGAUAUGGAGGGUAAAAUCUUAAAUUUGUAUAUCUGUCAACUGCCACAUGUUAUCAAACUCAGCAAUUUGAAUGUAAAAUUUAAUGGCAAUUAACUAAGAAUAAAUUUGUUAUAUAUAAACAUGUUUGGAACUUUUUGUGGUAAAAAAAAAUAGUUUAUGAUAAAUUUGUCAUAGAAUUACCAAUUUCGGAAUCUUUUGUAAUAUUAACCCAAAGUUAACAUUUUGAUUUAAAAAUAGACGAUUCUACUACAUAUUUUUUUUUUGGGUAACCGAGNNNNNNNNNNNNNNNNNNNNNNNNNNNNNNNNNNNNNNNNNNNNNNNNNNNNNNNNNNNNNNNNNNNNNNNNNNNNNNNNNNNNNNNNNNNNNNNNNNNNNNNNNNNNNNNNNNNNNNNNNNNNNNNNNNNNNNNNNNNNNNNNNNNNNNNNNNNNNNNNNNNNNNNNNNNNNNNNNNNNNNNNNNNNNNNNNNNNNNNNNNNNNNNNNNNNNNNNNNNNNNNNNNNNNNNNNNNNNNNNNNNNNNNNNNNNNNNNNNNNNNNNACAACAUUAAAAUUCAGUGAUGCCAUUGCACGUGGGCUAUAUUAGAUAUAUCUGAAUGAAUUUAAAGUUUGUAGACUAUAUUAAAAAUUGAAUAAUGUCAUUUUUCGGGAUAUAUACAAGCACGACGUGGUUUGGGCAUCGUUUUCCCUAUGAUGCGUGCUCGGCGGGGAACGGUCCCCGUUCACUGGUGUCACGCCCACAGAUGACACGUGGAGGACAAAGCUUGGAAGAAUGGACGAAAACUUCUUCGACCCGUUCCUCUCGCCGGGUCAACAGUCUUGCGGUUGACUGCGGAGUCCCCGAAGGCCAGCGCCAGCUGUCCCCUUCGCUCGCCGAACACGGCAACGGUGGACCUUUCCCGAUGGUUACCCUAAUGCCCGAAAGGAGUUCGAGGGCAAAUAAUUCACGCCGUUUCGCAAAGCUCUCUCAGUUUCUCUUUUGCCGAUGAAAGUCGUCUUGCUUUUUGCUCUUCGGUGUGGGGUAUAAGUCUGUACGCAUAUCAAGGCUGCAGUAUCUUCAAGACUUCAGUUCUGCUGCAUUAGCUCUUUGUUCUCGAUGCUGAGACAUCUACAUUCAAUUGCUCUUUUGCCGAGCUCCGGGUCGUUCCAUAUGCAAAACCCGACGCCCGCCUCGCUGCGAAUCAUCCCAUGACCAAAGCUACAUAUAAAGAUGUAACGAACGUGGUUUUAAAGAAGAGAAUGCAGAGUUAGACCAUAUAUAGUUUGGCCAGCCCUAACAUCUCCUCCCACAAUCGGUUCCGGUCGAAGCGGUCGGAAACUUCACCGGGAGUCCACAGUGACAACGCCGGUGGUUAAACUCUUGUUCCAUGAUUUUCGUGAUCGAAGGCGUGCAGAUGAUGAGCGAAUGCUCAUCUAGAAGAUCGAUUCUUUCUCCUUUCAGUCAAUUCUUUAGGUUUUAAUUCGAGCUAAAAAUUUAGCAUUGAACAUAGAUUUUUGGAGCUCCAAUUUCUACAUCGCAAGGCUCGUCCAGCAGCCUACUCUCUCACGUUUCUCUCAGGCUCUGAUACCACUGUUAAAUUGCUAAAGGGAGGAGAGAUGAGACUGAAACUUCAUCUUACGUACAAAGCAAAACAAGUCUUUUACAAAAGACAAAAUACAUAACGUAAAACACACCAUAACUACCCAUGUUCUCCAUAAAACACUUGCCCCACUAACACCUAAAAACUAGGAUAACCAACACACAUGACUCCACUAAUUCUAAUAACUGAAAACCAAAUCAGCAACAUGUGAAAAAGAAAAUAACUAUUUUAUCAACAGUAACUUCCCUCCAUCAACUUGACAGAAAGAUGCAGUUGAACAAAUAAAAACGUAGUUCAUGGUAGUGCGAUCAAUGAGCGGAUCGAGUCGGUUAAAAAAUUGUUCGACCCAAAUUGAUUAACAAAUUUAGCGAUAAAUACAUGUCUUGUCCCGUAUUACUAAUACAAAUCCAUAUUUAAUCAAACCUAUGAAAAACCGAAUUCAACUAGUUAAUUCACUUUAAGCUUUUUACAUAUAUAUGUUAUAUGGAUAAAAUCGUUAUUUCGACUAUAAGAUGUUAAAGAAUCGGUUUUCAACAUUCCAUAGAACUGUCAAUAUUUAUAUUGAUUUAUAGUGAAGAUUUAGAGAAUCUUAGUACUUGGUAGUGAAUUUAUAAAAUUACAACAACAAAUAACUUGAAGGAAUUGAAAUUUUAAUUAAAUGGAAUGUAAGAUAUUGGAUAAAAUGAUUCAUACCGACCAUGUUUGCAAUGACAAGAACUAACAUUAGAAUAAUAUGUAAAAAUACCAAAGCCAAAUGGGACCAAAGAAAGAUAUGCUCCAACAGCUUACUUUUGAAACUUACAAGAUUAUUAGAAAUAAAAAUAAAAAUUGGGGGAAAAAAGAAGCCGUUUUAAUAUUUAAUAAGGCUGAAGUCGGGUCCUUGCGAUCAAGACUUUACUGAACUUGAAACAAUACGAGGGGUUCGUUAUUUUCUCAUAGAGAAUGAAGAGAGAGUUAUAAAGAUAGGUUUGAUUUGAGUAAAACACAUUUAACAUUCAUAUUAAUUUAGUUUUGUCAUUCUAAACUCAUUUAUAACUAAUUAUUUGAAUAUAAUUGACCCAUGUAAUGACUCGGCCGAUCAAAUGUAGGUUAAGAAAUGGUCUACGACUUAUUUUAACAUGUUCGGUUCAAGAGCGUAAUUACAAAACGGUUAAGGGAUGUAAUCGCAUAAACCGAAAGAGUUCAAAGACCUUUGGUGAUUUGACUCACGCACAAGAAGAAUUCAAGUAAAUUUGCUUUUGUGAUUAAAAAUGUUGCAAUAUAAUGUGGAAGGUAAUAGGAUCUUACAAUUUAGUCAAUGUGAAAUCACCGGAAAAAUAAACAACAAACAAUUAAAAUCAUCUGAAAUUAUGUGGUUCAGUCCGAAUAUUAGUACUUCAUGGUGAGAGCUGGUAGCAAAUAAUCUAUUGAUUGAUUAGAAAAUAACAUAAUUACAAUAUCUCAUAAACUUAAAGAACUCACUCAAAAUAAUCACAGAUAAAAUUUUGGCAAAGGCACCACGUCCUCAACGGUCUGUAAAAUCACGUCCUUCCCCUCGUCAUUCCCGCUUCAUCAAGAGUGCAACCAGCUUUUGUUUUUUCGUCCUUCUUCGCCCUUUGUUUUUCAAUGGACGCCUGCGCAUCAAUCCCCAAAGCGAAGCGGAUCUCUUAAACUCUGCAUUAUCUCUUCACCACCCGCAGCCCACCGGCGUGAGCUCAACCAGACCCCACUUAUGUGGGAGAACACCCUUGCAGCACUGGCUUCUGCGGCUGUUUCGAUGACAUCAAUAGCUGUGACAGAAAUCUGUCUAUAUCCUCAGCUUCUUCUUCUCCUUUUCUCUUUUACGUAUCAAGGAAUAAAUCCAUGCAAUUCCGUGUUGCUUGCAGGCUGCAUCACCUUCGGACAGAUAUCAGAGAUCGCAGACAGAGGGGCAACAUAUGAGUACAUAAUUUUUGUAUAGGUGUCCGCAAAUAUGUCAGAGGACUGCUCUAUAUUAUUGCUAUUUUGCACUCGGAUUAUACUUCAGGUACAUGGUUAUUUUUCAAAUAAGUCCCUGAUACAGGUCGAGUUUCGUCUAAUAGUGAACGUUCGGGAGGAACUGUAAUAAUAUUGGGUCACAAAGAACUGUAGUCACAGUUCACUAAGCAAGUAGAGCCGGUUGGUUAGAGUUCAACAUUGGACAUGCAAUGUCAAAUUUUAUGAACUUAUUCCGAUUGGACAACUUAUUCAGAAAAUAUAGGAGAUCAAUUUUCCCUGUAAGAAAGGCUAAUUGAUUACCAAAGAACAGACAAAGGCUAAUUAUAUAUUUCUCACUUAUCCGAGCUUGGAUUGCGGCUUGCCUUAUGUAUUGUGCAAUCUUCACGCUCAUCUCCUUGCUGACUUCGUGUGCAUGCCUCUAUUCAUGCACCUACCGAACCAGACUGAGACGAGGGUUCCGGUUGAAGGAAGAUCCGUGCAAGGACUGCUCAGUCCACUGCUGCUGCAUGUACUGCGCGCAUUGUCAAGAGUCCCGAGAGCUCAAGAGCCGCGGAUUCAAUGUGGCAAAGGGUAAAAACCCAUCCCUUUCAAACAUCUUCGUGCUGGAUAGCUUCCUAAUUGUGUGUCUACUGGUCUUUUCAAGUGUUGAGCAAGUACUGAGUUAAAAUGGUCGGAUUGGUGUGUAGGAUGGGAAGGAAACGCCAGGCAACAUAGCGAAGUGGCAAUGGCUCCAGCGGUGCAAGGCGCUAUGAGGCGGUAGUGUCCAGUGCUGAUUGCGGGCAACUUCUUUUUUCUUGGAAUAACGUGUCAUGGUAUUAUCGGUUUCAUUUGGUUGGCACAGUCUGUGCUAAGAUUUUUGAUUAAGUUUAUACUAUAAGACCUUCCGGGUGAGUAUUGAGUUGUCAACUUCCGAAUCUUUUGAUGGCAAUCUCCAAUGUGUGAUUCUUCCCAUUCGUUCGGUCUCUGUGUCGAGGGAAUUUUGAUGGAAUUGUUGUCGUUGCUCUUUACACGAAACAUAAAUCGUACCAAAACAUAAAUCGUACCAAAACUACAUAACAUUUAGGAUUGAUUUCUCUAUUUAUUUAUCGCAACUUCUACGCCCACAAAUGACUCCUUGCUCUCAUCCAUCGAUUGGAUCGAGUGUAAAUGGGUCAAUUCUUUAAAAGAAUUAUCAAUCGAGACAUUUGGGAGCUAAAGGAGAAUGGACGUCGACUUUUACGGUCAUAAGAUUUUCUCACUCCUUAUGGAACUCGGAAGUAAUAAUUUCGAAUUUAGAUAUGCGCAUAUUGGCGGACCAAGGAGGCUCAUGGUAGCCUCCGCCUACCCCUCCUAGGACGAAAUAUUUUCUAUAUAUGUUAUUUAAAUGAAAAAUUUGUGUCUUACCUCAAAUUCUUGAUUUGCCAUUGUACGGACAAAGUAGGGGUGAUCGAUUUGAAGUGAGUCCAUUUCCACCCUAGAAUAGAAAAGCGCCCACAAAGGAUCAGUUCCACAAAUUGAGAAUCGGGAACCACCCUCUAGUUCCUAGACUCACCUAGGAACCGAAACGCUGAUCUGCUGUAAUUCUCAAGUGAGUCGAUGGAACAGGCGUGUGAUCACCACCACAACCCAGAUUUUCAAGAUUGGGGCUAAUCACUUUCAUUAGUAACUAAGAUUUUCAGGAUGGCAACAAGGAAACAGGGCACCGGCAUGAUCACCUCUUCAUCUUAUUUGUGUAGAAUAGAUCGCUCAUCUUGCCAAUUGCGUCGUGAGCGGCGAGUAAGGUUGUGGUCGCCAAGAGUGAGCUGAGAGAGAGAGAGAGAGAGAGAGAGGCCAAUGGAAUUAUAAGGUUUUUAAACAUAAAUAUAUAUAGGUCCAGUCUAGGUGAGUGGGUCCAUCCUUAGAAUUGAAAAUUGGACCGAUAUUCACUAGUUCUAAUUUAUUGCGGUUGCGGUUCGAUUUGGUUCUUUUACACACCCCUCGCACGAAAGUAUGUGUAAACUAUACUUCUGCAACAUGGGUAUACAUGAUUCUAGAAUUGCACGAUACGUCUUAUGCCCAACUUAUCCUUUUACGCAUGCUCGCAUAAAUGGAUAAGUUAGUCGACGGUCACCUCUAGCUCACUCUCUUCGAUCCAUCGUCGUCGGUCGUGACAGAGAGUGAAGACGAAGAUGUGUUUUGAAGGAAAAAUUGUAUAUCAUUGUAUAAUCCUUAUACGUGUAUACAUAUAUAGUACAAAAAGAGAAUCAAAGAAAGAGUAAACACGAUUAUAAUUUCCUUCUUUAUCUCCGUCUAUCUUCGACUAAAUCAAUUAUAAUUGGAGUCUAUAAUAAAAUCGUAACCUUCUCCAACAUUUCCCCUCAAACUGGCAACUUAUUUAAGUCAAAGACGCCCAGCUUGCUUAGCAGAUAAGUAUGUUGUCUUUGGCACAAAGGUUUAGUGAAAAAAUCCACAAGUUGCUCCAUUGUUCCAAUUCCUCGAAUUGCUAUGAUUUCUUCUUGAUAUUUUUUCUUGAAUGAAGUGACAAUCAACUUCUAUAUGUUUUGUCCUUUCAUGAAAGAUAUGAUUUGCUGCUAAUUUAAGUGUAGCAUCAUUAUCAUAGAAUAACUCACUUGCCCUAUCAAUUUCUACUCCAAGAUUUGAAAGUAGGCUUCAUAUCCAAAUUAUUCGCAGUCCAUUUUUACCAUAGCCUGAUAAUUUGAUUCGGCCGAUGAUAAAGAGACAAUUGAUUACUUUUUAGUUUUCCAUGAAAUCAGGGACCUCCCUAAAUUGAUGCAGAUGCCUGUAACAGAUCUUCUAGUCAUUGGACAAGUUGCAUAAUCAGUAUCACAAUAAGCGUUCAUUUUCAUGUCGCAAUCUCGAGACAACAAUAUUCCAAGUCCUAGGCAACCUUUCAAGUAUUUUACAACUUUCAAUACUACAUUCAUGUGAGACUACUUCGGAUUAUGUAUAAAUUGACCGAGUAUCUACACUGCAUAACAUAUAUCAGGUUUGGUCAUAGUGAGAUAGAUCAAUUUUCUAACAAGCCGCUGAUAACCCGAUGGAUCUUGAAGCAAUAGGUCUUCAUUAGAUGAUGAGGUAGCCUUGUCAUAGUCAAAUGUCAUAAACUUGACAUUCCAGUUCAAUAGAGAUGACAGCUGGCUUGCAUCCUAAUAACCCUAUUUCUGAUAUAAUCUCUAAGACGAUUUUUUGCUGACUAAGACAUAUCCCUUUAUCAGAUCUAGCUAUCUCAAUACCAAGGAAAUAUUUGGGAGCCCCAAUUCUUUGAUAUGGAAAAUAAGAUGCAAAUACUCUUUAAACUUUCUAAUGGCAAAGUCAUCAUUUCCUAUUAUAAGUAUAUAAUCAACAUAUAUCAGCGAAUAAAUUGAUGAGGUGCCUUUAGUCCAUGUGAACAAUGCAUAAUCAUGUUUAGAAUGUUGAAACCUUCACUUGUGAAUGCAUUAGUAAACUUCACAUACCACUGCCAAGAAGCCUGUUCCAGUCUAUACAGGGACUUACGUAGAUGACAUACCCAAGACUCUCCCUGCCUACGAAGUUCCUAUGGAAGUUUCAUGUAGAUUUCUUCAUCAAGAUCGCCAUGAAGGAAGCAUUAUGGACAUCCACCUGAUGUUAUUCCUAGUUACAAAAUUCAGCAAUAGAUAGGAAAGAAUGGACGAUUACCCCUCGGGCAAUAGGGGAAAAGGUUUCAUGAUAAUCAAAACCUUUUCAUUGAGUGAAUCCUUUGGCAACCAACCAAGCCUUGUAACGUUUGAUAGAGCCAUCUGCCUUAUAUUUGAUUUUAUAUACCCAUUUGCAGCGAUUGAUUUUCCAUGUGAAGGCGAUGGGACUACAUCCCAAGUAUGAUUAUCCACAAAUGCAUUCAACUUAGACUCCAUAGCCUACUGCCAUCUUGGAUCACAUGCUGCUUCUUCAUAGGAGGAAGAUUCAUGUUCCUCGGAUAUGUGACUAACGCAACACAUAUGUUCUUGGGAUAGUCGAUUAAAAGACAGCAUGUUCCUUGGGAAUACAAAGUAGAGCAUAUGUAGUCCUUGGCCCACAUACAUGGAUGAGUAUGACGCCCUAAUCGUCGUGGUGGCUGAACAACUUGCUAUUCAGAUGACAUUGAUGAAGAAGAAGAUACAUCAGUAUGUCGCUGUGGUGAUGGAACAAAUGACUUAUCUUCUUCGUGAUAUGACACUAGCGACUCAACCAUUGAAUUCGAGUAUUCUAGAAUUGCUGGUAUGUUUUUUCAUUGAAACGAAUAGGUAUUGAGAAUUCAUAGACAAAUCUUCUUUUAACAAGAACUGAUGAUGAUUUGGUGCUGCUGUAAUCGUCUGAGUGUUAUAUGUUGAUUCUUGGAAUGAAAAUUUAUCCUCAUGAAAAACAACAUCCUAGCUAACAAGAAAUCGACCUGUGGAUAGUUCCAUAACCCUGUAUCCUUUCUGUAAAAGAUGAUAUCCCAUGAAGACACAUUUUAGAGCACGAGGAUCCAUCUUGUUCGGAGGUCCGAUGGUUGUGGGAUAGCACAAAAAACUGGCAGGUGUUCUAUUUUCAAUGGCUUCCUAAAGAGCAUUUCAAAUGGAGAUCGCCCUCCAAGAAUUCUAGUUGGCAUGCGAUUAAUCAAAUAAACCACCGUAACCACACAAUCUCCCCAAAAGAAUUCUGGAAUGGAUACUUGGUAUUUCAGGCUUGAGCUACUUCGAAAAGAUUACAAUGUUUACGCUCCACAACUCCAUUUCUAAGAGGUAUCUAUAGUGUGAUGUAGCCUUUUACAAUAAUCGUAAUAUUUACCUUUAAACUAGGGCUACAUCUAGCAGAGAAUUUGAGCAGGAUCUCACACCAUCCUGUCGAUGGGGAAUAUGAACCAUACCCCAUCAAUAUUAUCACUUAUUUUUAUACCAAUCAAAUAUUGGUAUGUAUUUACAUGAAUCAAACAAUAGAGCUCGUGUACACUAGAACUACAUAUGUACCCUUUAUACUAAGAACAUUGGACACACGAGCAUCUUGGACAGCCAUAAAAUUUCCAUCAUCAAUUGCCAACCAUCACAAAUACACGACCAAAGCUAUUAUGAGUAUUCACAAUACAAAAGUGGAAAGGAAAUCAAAAUAGAGAGAAAUCAUAGCAAAAUUGAAUAUACAAAUAACAAUUUGGACACCCAAUUCUAUUUAGGAAAAUCUGCCAUUGCAACAACAAUCAUGCACCGGACCACAAAAGGCCACCUCUCGGACUUCCACUCCUAGACAUCGAGCAACUCAAGCCACUAACCUUAACGAACGAAGCAUCCAAGUACAACAAACAAGCUAGACUAACAAUACCUCACAAAAAUCAGAGCAACAUAAUUGACAGCCGCUAACACAGCAAGACUUGCAUUAAUCUUCAUCCCCUUUAUCAACUUUUCCCACAUCAAUAAAGGUCAUCGCGAACGACAACACCAUAAUAUAAAAAUUCUUAAAAAUACUGACAAAGCAACACCCAUUAAAAAAGGUCAAAAAGUCGAAAAUCAGGACAAACGACAAUCGCCUAUGCGGCCAAAAUGUGACAAUUUCUUCUAGAGUGAUGAUCGGAACCCAGAUUUCUACAAUGUCAUGUAAAUUACGCUCAUUCCACACAAAUCCAAUUCCUAGAAAAUGCCUCGAAAGCACGCAUGCACUCCCACGCACCAUCCAUCCGACGGAACCUCACCUUCACGCUCUGGUACGAGAGGAGCUGCAGCGGGCCGACGAUGAGGAGAACAUCUUCAUGACGUCCUUGUAGCACUUGAAAAUCUUGGAGGAGAGCCAGACCUUGGACUGGAUUUUGAAGCAGUUGAAGCCGGCAGGGCGCGCAAGCUCCAAGAGCAUGAUGGGGAGUGGGACGAGGGACAAGAUGAGGAUGUGGAAGAAAAUGCUGUGGCUGUAGAGGAAGUAGUUGGACUUGGCGGCGAAGUACUCGAACCAAAGGGGGCUAGGGCUAUGUGUGAGAUAAGACGAGUGCAAGAUAAGAGAGAGUAACAAGGGAAAAUGCUUGUGGUAGCCUUUGCUGAGGGUAAGCGGUCCUAGGUUUCAUCCAAGUUCCACCUAGAACCUAAAUUUGCCCAUUGAAAACAAGUUCUUUAAUUUUUGGAAAUUGGAACUUACCCUACAUAUCUAAGAACUUGGAAUCUACCAUGUCACAUGUUUUAGGGUAUACCCAAGUUACAUGUAUACUUUUAAUUGAGCGGUUGCGGUGAAUCAUCACCUAUAAUGACCACUAUUUGGUACAAUUCACUUAUCAGAACUAAUAUAUAGACACAUGAAAAUGAUAAAAUAUUAACAAAGUAAAAGUCUCAGCCAUAGAUAUCAUUGAAAAUGAAAGCUUAGACUAGUAGUUUUAGAUUAUAUACUCAUCAUUAGAUGCCAUGGAAUGUUGUAGGAUCACAUAAAAAUGAAUAACAAAAAAAAUUACAAAGACUAAUUCCAGAUGUUCCUCAAUUUUUUGAACCUGAAAUCUACCAUGUAUAUUCUAGAACUUGGAACUGGAUUAGUUCCCUCAUAUCCGAUUUUCAAAUUUCCAAUUUUAUCCAAAAACCACACUCGCCUCUUGCCUCCGCCCCUUCUAGGAUGAAAUAUUUGCUAUAUAUGUUAUUUAAAUUAAAUAUAUGUCUUGCCCUCUUAUCUCAAAUUAUCGGUUCGCCAUUUUAUGCACAAAGUAUGUGUAAACUACACUUUUGCAACAUGUGUAUAUGAUUCUAUAAUUGCACGACUCGCAUAAAAGGUUAAGUGGUCGACGCCCACAAUUAACUUUCUCCUUUGAUCCAUCAUUGUUGCUCGUGCUCGCAUGGCAAUUCACAUCCUCAUGUAUUAGAAUUUUCCACGGUGACUUAAGAAGGAAGUUUGAGACUUUUAUGCAUAGUUUUUUGGGCUCUUUAACAACUCAUCUAGAUAUUUUGUAUGUGUCAGGCUACGAGAGUGACAAAACAUGUUGUGAAUGGGACAGGAAAAAAACCAAAAUGACCUUCCUGCUCUGAAAAAUCAACAAGAGACUCGAAAUUCAUGCAAAAAAAGGGCGUUUGAUAACAACAUGGUAAAGUUUUACGUUUCAAAUUUUUGUAGAUGAAUUUUCCUAUUUGGUAUCUUAUGUGAGGUGCAAGUGUGUGAUGUAUAUCUUCUUGCUUGGAAGAAAGGAUGGAAACUGCUUGGCCAGUCCCACUCGCGGGCUCAACAAUCUCGUCUUAUCUUACAAUAGCUCGUAAAGAACUCACUCGAAAUAAUCACUGCAAAAAUUUUCGCAUAAGCACCACGUCCUCAAUGGUCGUAAGAAUUACGUCUGUCCCAUAGUCAUUCACGCUUCCAUUUGGAGGGCAACUAGCUUUUGUUUUUUCGUCCUUCUUCACCCUUCGUUCUUCACCGGGUGCCUGCACAUCAAUCCCGAAAGCGAAGUGGAUAUUCGAAACUGUUGGAGCUAUGUCUCAGUGCUGCUGCUGCUGAUGUUCUGUUGUUUUUUAUAUUAUUCAGUUAAGUUUAUUUGUUAGGCGGUUGGUUUGUUAGCUAUUUUCUAGGAAGUGGAACAAGUUCUGUUUUGCACGUUUGUGUGCGGUUCUAUUUUGCACAUUUGUGUGCGGUUCCAAAAGAUGUUCUUAUUUAGCUUGUACUUGACAGUCUUUUUUAGUAUGAAUGAAGUUCAAUGUUCUGUUUCAUUCCUUCUCUCUCUGUGUAACUAGAAGUUUGUGAGUAUUAGUUGAAUAUAUCAACAAUAACAGUGGUAUAAGAGCCUCUGUGGGAUCUUAAGGGACUGUGAAGUGAGGGUAAGUGAGUGAAGAUUGCUUCCAAUCUGCAAAGAAAAAGUUGAUGGAGGCAGGAUUGAGUGGAUUCUCUACUAUGGCUACUCUAGUCUUUACUGGGGAAUAUUAUCAAGUCGGGGCUGUUAAGAUGACAGCAUUCUUGGAGGGUCAUGAUCUAUGGGAGGCUGUGGAGAUUGAUUAUGAGGUUCCUCCACUUCUAAACAAUCCGACCUUGAAUCAUAUAAAUUACCAUAAAGAGAGAAUCACAAGGAAGGCCAAGGCAAAGUCUUGCCCGUAUGCUGCUGUCUCACCCCCUAUCUUCACAAGGAUCAUGAGAUGUGAUUCUACAAAGGCAAUAUGAGGUUUCUUGAAGGAUGAAUACGAGGGAGAUGAGAAGAUAAGGACCAUGAAGGUGCUGAAUCUCUUGAGGGAGUUUGAGAGACAACAUAUGAAGGAUUUAGGGUCAGUGAAGGUAUAUUCUGAUAGGUUGAUUGAGAUAGCUGAAAAAAUCAGAGUCUUAGGGACUAACUUGAAGGAUGAAAGGUUGGUUUAGAAGAUUUUGGUGUCUCUUUCAAAGAAGUUUGAAGCCACCAUAGCUUCUCUGGAAAAUACAAGAGACUUAGCUGACAUAAAGCUUGCAGAAUUGUUAAAUGCCCUACAAGCACAUGAGCAUAGAAGACUAAUGAGAAGAGAAGAGCCUGUAGAGGGUGCACUGCAAGCUAAAGUGAAGUCCAAUGAUGAGGCAAAUGGAAGAAAUGGAAUUAGUCCAAAGGAAAUGCAAGUGACUUCAAGUUUGUAGCAAAAGAAGGAAGUUCUAGUGAGUCUAGCAAAUGGAAGAAGAACAAGAAGUCUUGUCAACACUGUGAUGGAACUAAUCAUCAGUCCUUUAGAUGAUGGAGGAAGCCUGAUGCUAAGUGCAGAAGAUGUCACAAGGUUGGUCACAUGGAAGCGAUCUGCAAAGAGAAUCACCACCAGCAAGCAGGAGAAGCACAUAUAGCAGUGAAUGAGACUGAGGAAGAACAUUUGUUUGUAGCUUCCUAUUUUGGCUCUUCUGUUGAGCAUGAUGCAUGGCUGGUGGAUAGUGGCUGUACCAAUCAUAUGACUAGCAAUUUGAAGCUGUUUAGGAGUCUAGGCAAGUUAGUCAGGUCCAGAGUCAGAAUUGCCAAUGGACAGUAAAUCGAAGUAUAAGGAAAGGGUACAGUAGCUAUUGAAGGAAAUCAUAAGGUGAAGCUAAUCAUUGAUGUUCUCUUUGUGCCAAAAGUUGACCAGAAUCUGUUGAGUGUUGGUCAAUUAGUUGAGAAGGGCUAUAAGGUGAAGUUUGAAGGGAAGGAAUGCCUUAUUGAUAAAGCAGAUAGCAAAGAAGUGUUAAGAAUGCCAAUGAGGGACAAGAGCUUCAUGUUCAAGCCACAAGAGAUGCAACAAAUGGCUUUAAAGUACAAAGAAGAAAAUGCAGAGUUAUGGCAUAAAAGGCUUGGGCAUGUUCAUAGGAAGAACAUGUUGUUUAUGCAGAGAAAUAGCUUGGCAAAUGACUUGCCAAGUUUGGAGGAGGAAUUUCCACAGUACAGAACUUGUCUUCUUGGCAAGCAAGCCAGAUUUCCUUUCAAAUGAGGAGGUUGAAGAGCACAUGAGAAGCUGUCCACACAGACUUAUGCGGACCUAUGUCCGAGUCAUCUCUCAAUGGUAGCGAGUAUUUCAUUACUUUCAUAGAUGACAUGACUAGGAUGAGCUGGAUUUAUUUUCUGCAAGCCAAGUCUGAAGUUGCUGAUGUGUUUGUGAAGUUCAAAGCCUUAGUUGAGAAUUAGACUGGGAAGAAAAUUAAAAUGCUCAGGUCUGACAAUGGUUUUGAGUAUACUGCUCACAAGUUUAAGUUAAACUGUGAGCAAACAAACAUUGUGCAGCAGUUCAUUGCUCCCUAUUCACCUCAACAAAAUGGGGUCAGUGAGAGAAAAAAAAACAGAAGCAUUGUGGAGAUGGCCAGAUGUAUGAUGUAGGAGAAGAUGUUGCCUAAGAAGUUAUGGGUUGAUGCAACUAAUACUGCAGUGUUCCUGUUGAACAUAUUGCCCACAAAGGCCUUAGAGAGGUCAACACCUUUUGAAGUCUGGUAUGGUAUUAGACCUUUUGUGAAAAAUUUGAAGGUUUUUGAGUGUUUGUGUUAUACUCAUGUUCCUUAGGUCAAGAGGGACAAGCUAGAUCAAAGAGUUGAGCUUGGAGUCUUCAUUNNNNNNNNNNNNNNNNNNNNNNNNNNNNNNNNNNNNNNNNNNNNNNNNNNNNNNNNNNNNNNNNNNNNNNNNNNNNNNNNNNNNNNNNNNNNNNNNNNNNUGAAGGGCGAUAAGAUGAUGAAAGCAACGUGCACAGAUUUGGUAUGCAUUGCCGUUACCAAGCUUAUAAUCAAUUCAUGUCAAACUAUAUCUAUAUAAUUCGACCACUAAAAGUGGGAAGAUUUGUGAAUGGAGUUAAAGAACACAUUUGAUGCCAACGAUGAAAAUGGUCACUCCCAAUGCAAUCAUUAUCAUUCACCGCCAUGCUCCUGCAGUACAGAUGCUGUAGAAUGGGCAAAUAUCAGAAAACCGAAAACAAGAUAAAAAUGGGUUCAUGUCAGCUGAGUCAGCUCAUUCUCUUUGAGACAGAAUCACCAUUCUUACAACUUGGAAAUUGCAACUUGCUCAGAAAUCAAUUGCAUCCAUAGGGACCAUGCCACUGGGAGAAUUUCUUUUCGUAAUAUAUGACCAACAUGUUGGUUUUUCAGAAUGAUGAUGCGGCUUUUAGCCUUUAAGAAGAGCCGAGUGCUUAUUACAAUCCUUCUCCUCCUCUCCCAGUUGAACAAGGCCCUUACUGCAGCUCUCGACCGAGCAGAGUACCAAAAGACCCCCUCAGGUAAAUAACAUAAAUCUAGUAAUUGGCAUUAAUAAGAAGAAAACACAUGGAUUAUGUAAAUCCCCAAAAAUGACCGACAAAGAGGCGAUGCCAUCAAAGGCAAAUCGGAAAACUAACAAUCGAUGCCAAAGCCUAAAAGUGACCACUCUCAUAAGAGGGUGGUCAAACAGUAUUUUUCAAAAUAACUUUCUCAUGUAAUCUGUGAUGGGCUCAACAAAAGGUAAAUUGAAUGAAAAAUAAACAAUCAAUGCCAAAACCACUGGUAACUUUUUAUGCUUCAGCAACAAUGAUUAAACUUGCACUCUAUCCUGUGACCAAGACCAAGAAAGCCUUUGAGACUCAAGCUCAGUUCCUUCACAAUUACAAGCCUCAGGAUAUUUCAGGACAACACACUAUUGGCAGCGGAGCUGCAGAGGAAUAAGUUCCCUCUCCGUAAAUUUGCUACUGUUUAAGCAACGGAACAUAUCUUAGUUACUGAAGAAACGCCGUCAAAAGUCAAAAUCAAAAGUCACAAUACAGGGAAACUGGUUGAAAAGAAGCAGCCUAUAAUAUUCCUAUCAAUCCUCUCUAAGUUAAAUGACCAAAAGGGCAAAUUGAUUCAGCUUUCAGAGACAUCGAAUGGAUUACUUCUGCUUGCUUUAUGGAAGCACUCAAAACAUAGGAAGAGAGAGAGAUACAAACAACAAAGACACACUCUUCAGAAUUGAGACAAAAAGAGAAUCACACUGCACAUUCAACAAAAAAGGGCAUGACCAGAAGCUUGACAAUCAUUCCCUUUAUUGAAUUUAUUGUUGAAAAUGUUCAUAGCGUAGCAUCCUGUUCUUGUCAUUUACCAAUCCUCCCUUCCUCCCUCUUUACAAGGUGGCUCCGGUGCAAGUAUAAAAGUCAGAUUUGCCAAUGAAGUAUGAAGGCACGAUCUAGAUAGCACUUGCAACAAAUUGAAGCAUCACCAUAACCAUAAAGAACUAAAACAACGAAAACAGGUGAGGAAAAAGGAACCCUACUGCUCUGUGGGCCAAACCAACCUGUGAUUGAAGAGUACUAACAUACCAAGACUCUAAUGAGUUGUGAACAAAUCUCAUGUUCAGGGAUGAAGACUAAUCUUGCUUCAAGUUAGGGCACCUAAAUCUCCAAAAAGUCAGCUGUCUUAUGGGAAAUAACAAGGAAGAUCAUUUUGUUCACGAUUGGCAACAAAUAAUUUUCCAAUUGCAGUAUACAGAUCCUCUGAGCUUUUCUUGAACAAAACCAUCAGCUUUGACAUGCACGCUUUUGACAAGGCUUAAUAAAGCUUCAUCCAUUUUACCUCAAUCCUCUCCACAUUGAUCUAGACAGCUUCGGACUACACCAACAGCUAAGAGAUUCAAUGCUCUUUUCAUUUUUUGUGGGAGAGAUCCGUUUUCCCUCGUGCACUUUACCUUCUAUUUAAGAGAGAAAGCAAAUAAUGAGACACAUAAGGAGACCCUGAAAGGGAGAUCGGUCUGGUUUAGAGUGGUUAGGGAGUCCAUUGACAACAACAUUGCCAUUGAGGGAUCGACGGCUGACCGCAACAGUCCCUCAAGGUCCAAAGCAUUAAAAAAGACAUUGCUUUCAAGACACGAUAUUAAAUAACAUUCAUACAGAGUGCACGGGUUGAAAAAACCAGAGCGAAAUAUGAAGAGACUAGAUUAAGAAUCCCAGUUGCAUCAAGCAAUUUCUUGAAAGGAACACAUGAAACCCUUGAUCAGUCAAUUCACCGACGAAGAACACUUCAUCGAAACAUUUACAUUUUUUCUGGCCAGUUACAAGGUAUAUAAGCUUAUAUCCAUAAAUACCUUAUGUACAUUGAAUCGUGAAAUUCUAAUAUUCACAUUGCCCCGACGGCACAGACAACCCAAUAUCAUCCACCGAUCGAACCUUAACAAAUAUAGCAUUACCAAGUUAACACAUUGUCGUCAAUCUAAUGGGAACCUUCUCCCUCGCGGCAUCACCAACUCCCUCCACCGCUAAACUCCUCAGCAUUUUCUUGAAGGCGAAAUGCACGCAAUUCGACAGCGCAAUCCAACACAUGACCUCAUAUACAAAGUCGAGCGCGAAGCCGGAACCGAGACCGAACCGCGACGACGUAUUGUCCUCCAAAUUCGGCCCUCCGAAAUUCCAUCCGCCGCCGCCGCCGCCGCCGCCGCCGCCGCUAGGGCCGAAACCCCCGCCAAACAGAUCGCCGCCGUAAAAUCUGCAGUCCCCAACGUCGCCCCCUUCGUCGGGGCAAUCUCCCGACAUCGACCUCCGCUUCGACCGCCGUUCCUCCGGACGAGGCGGCGAGGCAGGGUCCUGCAGGCCGAGGAUUUCAGCGAGCUAGGGGUGAGAUGGGCCCUGGGCCCGCGCGGAAACGAGAAAAGGGGCUGGAGUCAGGCCCAGCCCCCAAAGCCAACGUUUUCUUCCUUUUAAAAAAAAUAAAAUUAAUUAGUAAUAAUAAACUUUUUUAAUUUUUUUUAUCUAUCCAAAAUGCAGUAAAAUAAGGAAAAAUAAAAUUUAAUUGAUACAAAUAAUAUUAAUGCAUAUGUGAUGUAAAAAUCCUUUUUGUUAAGGCUGAAUUGGUACAUUAUUUUCCAUAUAAUUCAAUCCUAAAUAUUUAAUCAAAAUUUAAAUGUCACCAGUCAAGUCCUAAGAUGUUCUCAUCCUUUCUCUUCAUCAAGCAGCCGAUCAAGGAACAUGACGCCAGAUUGCUUCGAUCGUAACAUCAAUCCAAUUAUGUAUCUAAACCCUCUAUAGUUAUGUGUUGUAAAUUUAUAUGUGUGAUUCGGUAAAAUCUACUCCCUUUCUUUCGUUGAGAAGGGAAGAUGAAAAAAUUAAUACCGACACAAUUAAAUGUGUUGAUUUUAAAAAUUUAAAGUCGAAGAAGUAUGGUGCACAUAAUAUUUUUUGAUAUGAAAACCAUCUUCCCUCACGUGAAGGGCAAUAAGAUGAUGAAAGCAACGUGCACAGAUUUGGUAUGCAUUGUCAAAACCAAGCUUAUAAUCAAUUCAUGUCAGACUAUUUCUAUAUAAUUCGACAGCUAAAAGUGGGAGAUUUGUGAAUGGAGUUAAAGAACAUGUUUGAUGCCAACGAUGAAAAUGGUCAACUCAAGGAAAAUGGAUAUUGGAUCCAGACUAUUUUUAUUUCUUAUUUGCAAGUAAAUAAGGGAUAAUGAUACAAAUGAUUCUUGAAAUUUUGCCCAAUAUGCAAUUUGAUUGCUGAAUUUUUUAUUUGUUUAAUGUGAUCCCUAAACUUUUUAUUUGUUUAAUGUAAUCCUUGAAUUUUUGGUACAUGUUUAAUAUAGUUCUUAGCAAUAUACAAAUGUCCUUAUUGUUCUUCCAUUAUUCAAGAUCAAAGACAACAUUGAAUAUUUUCAUAUAAUUUAUGGAUCAAAUUAAGUAUGUACAAGUUCAAGGAUCUUAUUGAAUAAAUUUAAAGUUCAGAGACUACAUUGCAUAUUAGGUUACAGUUUAGAGAUCAAAUUAAACAAAUUAAAAUUCAGGGAUUAUUUGUAUCAUUUUUCCCAUAAUCAACAUCAACAUCAACAAAUCAAUCUAAUGAUAACUCAAUCAGCUUGGUAUUGUCAUGGCCGGCAUCCUGACCGGCCACCCAAAAAGAAGAAAAAAAAAGGGAAGAAAAGGACUUCAUGGUAUUCACUUGGUGUAAGUAGGCAAUAGUUGUAGGAAAGGCAGUAUUCUUGCGUUAGGGUUUUAAUGAAAUUUGCUCAAUUGUCCUCCCUGAGCUCAGGUUAUCUUAGUUCCCAUUUUUAUAGUGGCCAAAAGAGAGAGUUCACAUUACGUUAGAAUUUUAUCAUUGGAGUACACAUUUUGACUGACUUUAUUAAUGUCAUACCCCUAUUAACAAAAUAUUCGUUCUUCUAACAUAAAAUACACGUCCGCAUACGUUAUUUUUUCACUUAUUGUCUACAUUUCACUAUUUACAUAUAUACCGAAUGAUAUGAUUGUGUCCUUCUACUUUAUCAUUAACAUAGUACGAAAUAAUUAAUUGGAAGCAAUGAAGCCAUGUCUACCGCGAUGGAUCUCCACUCGAGUGAGGGACAAGGGGAGAAACGAGAUCAUUUGCAUUUAUAUUUUAGAUAUGAUCACAUGUUGAGUUCUUUGAAGAGCGAUCGAGACUGUUCCAUGGCUCCAUCCUCGAGCAGAAAGAGCACAAAUGGGGCUCUAGAUGGAGUAAUGAAACUAGGCCAAUCUAACAGCGAGAAAAUGUAAAUUGCAAGAAAUUGAUACGCUCCGAAUUGAAGUUAUAUUGAAUAUAACGUAAAAGGACGAUACAAGGAUAAGGUUGCAAUAAUCAUUCUUGUUAAGCUUUCUGCCAAUUCAGAUGACCAAAAGAAAGUGACAGUGUAAGCUCCGGUAAAAGUUGAUGUGGUCAUUCUUGUCACGCUAUCUAACAAUUUAGAUGUUGUAUUUGUUGAAAUUUACUACAUUAGAACUGAUUUCGCAAAGUAUUGUUGACACCUAAAUUUUGGCGACCCGUUUAUUCAUUUAUCACAAUAAAAAUUAGGAGUUAAUUUUAAUCUCUAAAAAAAAAAUAUUAGUUAAUUAAUUAAUUACAUAGCAUAUAGAUUUAGGUGUAUUUGUAAUUUUCUGCAUUUAUUGGACCGGUGGCAGAUGGGUUUGAAUUAGUGGUUCUGAGCUUUAAAUUGAUAAGCCGGACUAAGCCCACGAAACGAGCAAAUUAGCUCAAGCCCGUUUUUUAUUUUAUAAUUAAAAACUUUCGUGAAAAAUAGGAAUUUGAAACUUUUGCAAGAUAUGAUGAAUUUUUUGGAUGAGGCAGAUGUGAAAGCAAAUAUUGCUUUUCGAAAAAGAAUCUUUGUAGAUAUGAAUUUGGAAAAAUUAAAACUCUAAUCCUCGCCCUAUAAAUAAGUUAUUUACGUAGGGUUUUAGAGGGGGCCACACAUAUUGAAUACACGGCAACAUUGAGAGACGAGAUCUGCUCUAUCACCGCCUCCCAAGAUCCAUUAACUCAUCAUUGUUUCUGUCAUACUUCCACUUCCACGUUGCUCCUGCAAUUACCGGUGCCCAACAAUUUCUGGCCUCCUGUUCCAGCCUUCAGUUCUUCAUCCACCAACGCACAGCCGUGCUCCGCCAGCAUCACUCCAAACUUGACGACGAAGCUGCUGUCCAGACGUGUCAUGAGCCCGAUGCUCAGCAAUUCCAGGCGAGUUCUUAGUCCAGCGAGCAAUCCUCAGCAAAGUUCAAUCACCGACGCAGUGAGAUCAAAAUUUCGUGGCUGUCUGUUGCUGCUUCGAAUUCGCCAUUGGUAACUCAUCGCUAGCCGCCGUGAAAAGUUUCAGUCCAUUGCCAUCUGCAAGUCCCUGCACCGCGAGCUUUAAGCUGCUCCUCGCCACACGCGCGAAGAGGUUAGUGAAAACCAGGGAAUUCUCAGCUGAACAAACCAAGAAUUCUUGCACAUACACGAACGGAAUCUCGAACAAGGCAAAAGCAUUUGGGGAACAUACGCUACAGGACGUGGAGGUGGGGGGUCUCUUCUCUUCGGUUUUCGGGGUCGGCAAAUUAUAAUUUUUAGAGCACAUGAGGAAUACACGUGAGAAAAAUAGAGAGGGAGUUCGGCCAUUAGAGGAGUUAUUUGCGUUACAAUUCUCGUGGCUGGUCUGGGUCGACUUCAUCGGAAGAUUCGCGAUUGGCGCAUAAUAGACGAUCCAGAGAGGAAAAGAGAGCAACCAAAAGCAUAGAAAAAAGAGAAGCCUUUGAAGCGGUGCUCUUUGUCUGGAGUGGUCCAAGGCGAGAGAGACAGAGGAAGCUUUUGCAAAAAAGACAAGAAAGGGGAAGCCGAUCCUUCAUCAAUAUCACAUAUUUGCAUUCCACUGAUAUUCUUUUCUUAAUUCUUUUUUUUUUUCAGGUUCUGCCCACAUCCUCGUCAUUGUAGAAAACGCCUCGGAGAGACCCCACAUUUGAGUAUUAACAAUCCCGAGAGGCUUCACAGAGAGUGAUCAGGGAACAAAUAUCAAAUCUCGUUGAUUCAAAUUUAUUGCCAAGUUUCCAGUGAUGUUGCCGUUGUGGUCUUUCGCCAUAUUGUCGCACCAAGAGAGUGCCCCCAAGCCCCGCCAUCCUUGCCAUGGCGUGCGCCGACCCGAGACCCAUCUGCUGUGCCAAGCCUCAUCCACAAGCUAUUCCCGGUCAUCUGUCAAGCCGAUUCCGUCGAGCUCAAAUGUGGCAAUAAUUCUUGCAAUAUUAGGUAAUUAUUUUAUCCAAAUUUGAUUUCGGUAUUUUAUUGCCUAAUAUGUGUCUAUUAAUAUUAAGUGUUCAUAUCCAUGGGCGAUAGACACAACUUUCAAUUAGGAUUUAUUUCCUAAUUCGCAACCGUAUAUAAUCUUUGAUUCCACGUAUAAGGCUUUAGAUGGAAUUUUUGAUCACGCGGGAAUAAAAUUUUGAUAUCUUGAUCUUUAAAGGUUAAGAUCAAUUUAUCGAUUUUAUUAGCGAAACAAUCGGGUUUGAUUAGAUAUCGUUUCCAAACUCGAACAAUGGAUAAUAUCUUUGAUGACCAUGGAUGAUUUGGUGUUUAUAUUUUAGUUGCUUUAUUUAUUCCAAAAAUACAAAAAAAAAAUUUGCAUUUGCAUAUCAUCUAGAUUAGAAUUGAUUUCCUAGAUAGAAUUACAUGAUUGAAUAGUUAAAUUCUUCUUUAAAUGCAUGUUUAGAUGGUAUCUAGGUUAAAUAAUUUCUUUGAAUCAAAUGGCAUGUUGAGAUAAAUUUCCAAGUUAAGAUAGGAUUCAAAUUAGUCUAUUUCCUAACUUAAAAUAGAUAAUAUUCCACGUUAAUUAGAUUUUUAUUUUUAGCAAUUUUUAAUUUCGAAUUUUAAUUAAAAAAAUCAUCAUGCAUAUGUCAUGUAGAAUUAGGGCAUCCUUUGUACAUCAUUGCACGUUAGGAUAAUUUUAAGUUUAGAUUGAUUUAGAUAGACUGCAUCUUAGGUUAGAGAUUGCUAAGUUAAGAUAAUAUCUUGGUUUAAAUUAGGGUUUAGCCUGACCUAAUCCUUAAUAUAAGUUGAAUAGAGUCUUUAAUUUAGCUAGAUAAUUUUCACAUUUUUCUAAUUUCGAAAAUUCAUGGAAAAUACCAAAAAUUAUCUUAGAAUAAAUCAAUUUCAUUCUUUAGGACAUACUGCAUUUUAUUUAUGUCAUGUAGUUUAAGCCAUAUUACCAACUCAUAUUAUUUCAUGUUAGAUUAGUAUCAUACAUUGCAUAUUGCAUGAUUUUCAUUAAUAAAAAAGAAAGAAAUUACGUGUUAAUUAGAAAUCAUAUUUAUGGUUGUUGAUCUGAGUGAGCAAGUCUAGUAAUGUCGAUCCUUCUUCGAUUUGUGCGAAUGUCAUCGAUUCUACUUACAAACCGAUCCGUGAUCAGCAAUCUCUGCGAUUCGCCCGAAUGUGAUGCAGGGGCACCAAAAUGACAAGCAACCUGUGAGAUUAACAAGAUAUCAACCUUCAUGAGCCAUAGAUAACACGAAUUUAUCUCUGGAUCCACUUAAACUCAACUAAUACCAAAGUGGUAUAAGAUCAUUCGAUUGCUAAAUUCUGAUAACCCCGCGACACUAGGCAAUUGCAAUUGGAUUCUCCAGUCUAUAAACUGUCCGACUUUUGCUCGUAGAUGUCGCCCAGUAGUUUUAUACAUGGCAUAACUGUUCUAUCAAGUGUUAAUCCACCUCUAAACCAAAUGGAUUGCGAGGAAAAUUCCAGAGGACUUGCAAGUUGGAACGUCGUCGAAGCAACUGAAAAGCCCAGAGGACCAAGGCAUGUUGUUAAUGGGUCGAGCUUGAAGACCCGCAGGGGGCAGAGGAUGUCGGGCCCCGAAANNNNNNNNNNNNNNNNNNNNNNNNNNNNNNNNNNNNNNNNNNNNNNNNNNNNNNNNNNNNNNNNNNNNNNNNNNNNNNNNNNNNNNNNNNNNNNNNNNNNNNNNNNNNNNNNNNNNNNNNNNNNNNNNNNNNNNNNNNNNNNNNNNNNNNNCCGGGCUUCUGUGGGUAGCCAUCAGAUGCGUUCGAGGAGUACAUAGCUUCAAUCCACAACUACAGAUACCGGGCUCCAACGAUCAAAGAAGGGCGACACGACACAGCGAAAGAUCGAAUGAGGAAGUGAAUCGGGCGAGGGCUAGAGAGGGUUGAAAGAUGAGAUGUUAGGUGAACUGCACAGUGCACAUGAUGUAUACGUCCUGUUUCUAUGCAUCUAACACUAAUAUAUUUGCGUAAAAGAGGGGUUUCGUCAGUGAAUGCUUUCACCAGAAGCGGCCGUGACCAAGCAAGUCGUUGAUCCGCCUUCGAAUCUGUUUGCUGGUCGUGGCAACGACGAAGCGCCAACUUUGACGGUUGAUGGUUAGUUGAAAAGUAAAUGCC
rnacentral:lncRNA from 1 species